GGCAGAGAUGUGGAUAAUACCAUGCAUGUACUGGAUAAUACCACCUAAUAUCUACACCCAGAGUAGCAGAAAAGUCAGAAGAAACUUAAGGCUAAUACAACAGGACAAUGGCCUUUCGACCUAUACAUAUAUAUAUAUACACAUUGCGAUAUUGUAGGACCACCAUGUCCUCUUUGGACUAGUAUGCGCCCUAUACUUCACGGUCUACCCUAAUUAAUCAGCCCUGAAUCGAAAGAUACCCCAGUCGAGGGCAGCCAGGCGUUCCCAGAUAUGAAUUCCCCAACAGUGAACUCUUGAGCGACACUGGCCGUGAGUUCACCCUGGUACCCACCCCACUUGACCCGCCCGGACGUUGACGCCCCAGGCCCUGCAUUCAUGUACUCGCCGUAAAACAAUGUGCUCAGGGCAAAGCUUCCAGACCAGGGAUACCACCCGGAAGGGGGAAUUGAGCCAUCCAAGUAUGACUGCAUGAUCACAGUUCUGGAAUACUUCUUCCAGGGUCGGCCAAGAUACGUGGUGGACCCCUCUGUCGUGAUCUUGCAGUUAUGUAUCGAGAUUCCGGUGUUCUGAUUGGGAUCCUCCCGGCCCUGGGCCGUCACGAAGUUGUUAUUGCUGGAUUUUCUGGCGUUAAGGUUGCAGCUCUGGAAGACAACCGCGGAGUUUCCGAAAAUGAAGUCUACGGUCCCAUAUAUAUCAGUCUCUCUGUAGAAUUGACGCUUGGAGAGAGUGUAGAGGGUGUCCUGGUAACCGAUAAUGGAGCAUCGGAAGACCACAGAUCGAUCCGAUCCGACUCGAAGGGCAACAGCCUGCCCCUUGCCCGGACCCGCAUCGUUCUCAAUGGUUAUGUCCCGAGCAAUGAAUCCAUCGCCCAUCACACCUGAAGGACCCAAAGUUAGCAAGGUGGCAUCAUUUUCAGCAAAAAUUUGCAUACUUCCAACAAAGAAAAACAAAUAUCAUCUAAGAAAUCCAACCUUCUUUUUCUUUUUUGGUAAUUUGGAUGUCGAUAAAAUAAUUGAAAAAAAUAAUUAAAUUAUUUAAAAAAAUAAUUCUAAUUUUUCCCUACUUUAUUUAAAAAAUACAUCAAAAAAUUAAUAAUAAAGGUUGACUAUUUUUAAAGCUUAUAUUUGUUAAUUAAUAUUUUUAAAUAAAGGUGGACUACAUCUUUUAUAUUAUUACUUAAUAUUAAUAAUAAGUUUAUUUUAGUUAUAUUAGUUAAUAUCAAUAAAUUACUUUUUAAUUGAAUAAAAAAAUAUAUAUUUUGACUUUUUCUAUUCAACCAAAAGACAAACAACAUCUUAUACCAAAAGGAUAAUAAAAUAACUUACUAUAUAUAUGAACAAAAAUAAAGUUAAAAAAGAAAAUCUAUGAUACUUAUUAAUAUCUAAUUGAACUUUUAAUAUAUCCACGUAAAAUUAGUAUCGAUUAUUUAAGCAAAUAAUUAAAUAGAAUUAUUAAAGAAAGCAAAGAAGUUUAAGUAUGACCUAAUUAGAUCAUGGAUGAGAUAUAAAAUAAUAAAACUUCAUGUACAAAGUAAUAAAAUUAAGGUAGGAUUAAGUUAUGCAUAUAGUAGUCCCUGAGUUACAAUAAUUUCUCCAUAUGGUACGGAAGAGGUACCAUUAAGUAUCAUAAUCGAAUGUUCAGACCAAUAUAAUGAUAUCAUAAUUGAAUGGAUCGUAUGUGUUCAUAUUUCCACUUUUUAAAAUUAAUCGAUGUCCUCUAUAUGUUAAUAUAUUUGUUUUUAUGAGUUUCAUCAUAUUUGUCAAUAUGUUUGUUUCGAUGGAUCUCAUCAUAUUUGUUAAUAUGUUUGUUUCUAUGGGUCUCAUCAUUUUCACAUUGUUUUUAGUACAUGUCAAUUUAUGUUUAUAACAUUGUAAUAGAAAAUCAUUUUCAUGUGACAAUAUAAAUUGUUUUAUUAUCUCACUAUAUUUUCAAUUAUCUAGAUUUAAAUUAUUUCUAUUAAAUAAUGAAUUUUUUAUGGUUCUUAAACCUUGACUUAAAGUGAUUAAGACACUCCUUGGAUUAUUUAAAAAUAUCUUUACGAUAAUUUUAAAAAUUCAAUUUUAAUUUAAAUUUUAAAAUUAUUGCUUUGGACUGUUACAUCAAAAUAAUAGAAGGUUGCAAUUUCAUAUAUUUGAUUUUCUAAAAUAAUGGCCAUUUUAAAAAUAAUUUCGAAAAAAAUAAUUAAUUAAUUUCUUAAAAAAUAUAUGUUUAAGGAUGAAAAGAUCUUACCGACGGUGGCGGAAUCGUAGGUUGAGGAGCCGCCAGCGUAACUUUUGUGACCCACAAUGACGGUUUUGCCCUUCCCGUCACCUACUAACAUAACGUUUUUUUGGCUGGAAGGGAUCUUAAGACCCUCGUCAUAAGUCCCAGCUUUCACGUGAAUUACGGUUCUACCCUCGCCCUCCAAUGUGACCACCAUCGCUAAAGCCUCACCAAUUGUCUUGUGUGUCCCACUGCCAUCCUUGGCCACCACUGCAGUGGCCCCAAUCUCCUCUACAGAAGCUUCCAGAAGCUUCCUUUCCGCCGCCGUCACCCACCCCGGAAACCUAUCCGACAGCAGCCUCCGGUGGUGGCCGGCGGUGUUGGUUCUUUGUGCCUCCUUUGAUGGCCUUGUGGACAUAUGGAGUGCUAGAGAAUUGCUGAUGGAGUAGGUCAAAUUUUGUGCCAUGGGCCGCAUUAGACCAUUUUGGCCUCCAGUCUGGUAAGUCUGGAUGCUCUCCAGGCAUGUAGCUUGGUUGGUCAGCGCAGCGCUGAGCCAAGUUUGGACGUCGUCGGGAUCUUCGAUUAGGGUUUUGCGGCGGUUCGCGACGUUGGUGAGUUGGUCUAGAGUGUCAUCAAGUAGCUCCAUACAGUCAUCGGUGCCGCGAACGAUCUGAGUCUUGUGAUCAAGCAGCCUGAGAUCAUGAACAUGGGCACGGGCUGAUCGCGCUUGGUUGAGGCUGAACUGCACUGAAAGAUCGAAGAGGUCGGCCUGGGUUUGAGGGACAGCGCCAUUGGUGGAUGAGAGGAGAGCUGACUGGCAUGCUGUUUGGUAGAAGGUGGCUUUGCAAGCUGCAGAGACAAUGGCUUCCAUAGAGGCUUUAGGGACUGUGGAGGUGUGGGAGGAUGAGGCUAAGCCUGAAACUGCAGUGGUUAAGGCCAACACUAGAAAGAUUGUGCACCCCCAUGAAAGGUGUUUGCUUGGUGUGCCACCAUGGGAGGAGCUUGGUCUUUGAUGAAACAUGCUUAUUGAGAUUAAGCGAAUAAGAGAGAAAGAGAGUAGGCGAGAGUUGAGGAUGGAUCAAACACAAGCCUCAAACCCCUAUUUAUAACAAUUUUUGUUGCAUCAUCCCUCGCAUUGCCAGUAAAUCACUGUCUAACAUCUUUUAAGGUUUAAGGUUUAGGGUUUAAGGUUUAAACUUUAAUGUUCGACUAUGCAUGUUCGACUGUGCAUGCACAAUUGAGUUUUAUGUGUGAUAUAAAUAAAAAAGAAACACGUCAUCAUUCGAAAAGAAAAACACUAUAAGCACUUUUAUAAAACAAAAUUUAUAAUCAUCCAUUAUUAUCCGAAAGCAAAUGCAUGGUAAUACUUGAACUUGAUAAAGGAGAACGAAAAGUUGUCAAAAGAGUGAUAAUUGUCACAUUGAUGUAUUAAGUUGGGUGGAUCCCGCAACAAGAAAAUAUAAGAAUAGUCACAUAGAAGACUAGCUAGCUAGCUAGCUUAAACUUGGUGGUUCAAAGUAAGCACCAAUUAGAUGAAUUUAAUUUUCAAAGUCUUUGUCGCCAAAAAUGAAAAGAAAAAGAAAAAUAUGACCACAUAAUAUUAAAGUAUCUUUAAACAAGAGGCAUCAAAUCGUGAAAUUAAUUAAUAAAAAGUUCUAUGGCUUUCCAACCACACCAUUUCCUUCUUCUUCUUUUUUAACCUCUUUCAUUUUAUUGGCUCCAUUUUCUUCCAAGAUGUGAUAAGUUGAAUGAUGGGCAUAUUGAGUUAUUUUAUCCAUAUGACUAAGAGAAUUAUAAACGUGUAUCAUGAUAAUGAAAACAAAUGUUUUUAAAUAAUUGGUGCUUUUAAAAAAAAAAGGAAAAAUAAUAGUAUUCCAUGAUUUAAAAAAUGACUUAUGCCUGAUUUGGUAACUGUUUUUAAAAUGGUAUUAAAAAUUAGUUUUUGAGAACUAUUUCUUGAUGUUUUAUAAAAUAAAAAUCUGUUUGAAUUUUUGAAAUAUUUUUAACAUAUUUUUAAUUUUUUUAAAUAUAUUUUUUUAAAAAAAUUAUAUCUAAUGAUUUAUUUUUAAUUAUUUUAUAUGUUUGUAUAAUUAUUUUUUAAAACAAUCCUCAAAAACAAAUGAAAGCAACUACAUGUAUUUUUUAAAAAUAUCUUAUUUUCUAAUUAUCAAAUGUGUUUUCCUUUUUAAAGGACUAGAAAAUUGUUCUUAGAAAUAAUUUUCAAACAAAUCCUUAACUUUUUUCUUUUAAAAAUAAAUAAUUCCUAAAAACAUGUUAUUUUGCUACCAAGAAGACCCUUUCAAAGUUUGUUCUUUUCUCUAUAUAUAAGUUUUUUUUUUUUUGUUUUUUUUGGUGUUUCUUUCCUUUGAUGUAUCCCUAAGGCUUGGAACUGUCAAAAGAAAAAUAACAUGAUGACAAGAGCAAAUUGGAAACGUAUAAAAUGAGUGCUGAAAUUCAAAAUUGGCGUCCAGAUUAUUCUAACCCAAGAAAGGAGUUAAUCAUAAAUCAAGUCUGGUCCACAAUCCCAAUGGAACCCACCAUGCAGUUAGUGACCUGCCCCUAUAAUAGUCAACAAAGUUCACCUUACUCACCUUGGGCAAUUAGCAAUUUUGAUUCUUUCCAUAGUCUUUACCGUCUACUAGGCAGUUAUUAAAAAAAUUUACUUUCAAACUUUAAAUUUUUUUUUUUUCUAUAACUUAUUAUAAAUUUUGUAGAAUAGAAAAAAUCAAAAUAUUUUUUUAAAUAAAAAAAAUAAUAUAUUUAUUUUUAUUUACUUUUUAAUACUUAAUAAAAAUAAAAUAUUAUAAAAACAAACUUAAUAUUUAAAAGCAUUAAUUACUAUUUAGUAAGAGAAACAAACACCACCACCACCUAAGGCUCCGAUAUUUCAAUUUCUAAAAACGGCCAAAAAUAAUUUCCAAAAAAUCUUAAUUCUCAUGUUGCCUUUAUAUUGAAAAAAGAUAAAUUAAAUGUAAUACAUUUUGAAUUUCCAUUUUGUAUUUAAAUUGCAUGUGAAGUUAAUGAACUUAAGAAUGGAAAAAAAAAAUUCUAAGUUUAAGAAAAACCAAAGAGUGAGAUUUUUAGCCUCUAAAAUCUCAUUUAAGGUUAAUUCAUUGACCUCUUUAUGGUUUUAGUUAAAUACACCUGACCUUCAUAGGUUUGAAAUUUCAUCAUACACCUCCUUUAUUUUUAUCGGAAGUUAAACAAAAACAAAAAAUGAAAAGGACAAUGAAAAUAUGUGAUAAAAUUUCAAACUUAUAAAAAUUAAAUAUAUUUAGUUAAAAACUUAAGGAAGAUGAAUGAAAUUAACCCAAUGAAGAUUUUUCGCGAUUGAUAUUUUUCCUACGAGCACUCUACCAUCCAUCAUAUAAAUAAACUAAUUAAUCUGAUAUACAAUGAUGACAGCUCAAAAGGGAAAAAUAAAUGCCACCAUUUUUGGUUGUCCUUGUCUAAGUGAAAGAUGGACAAUUUCCGUACAUGAAAAGCAAAUCAGGAAAAUGAGAAUUAUUUGCCUGAUUAUGGUGAACCUGUAAUGAAAAAAAAAUCUAAAAAUGUAGAAGGAUCUGUGAUUACUGAAAUAUAACCAACAGAUUAAGAUAGAUUUUGAUUUAAAAUAAAUGAAAGCAUUGUAUCAAAUCGAUCGAAGGGAUAAUACCAACAGAAAAAUGAGUGGCAUUGUGUGGCUUUGCUUGUUGCUCCUCUCCAUUCACAGACAAAAACUAGUGCUGUAUAUAGUAGAAGGCCCACUGCUGAAAGAGAUGUGCUGGAUGUCCACAAGUCCAAGCAUGGAAGGCAAUAUGAUGGUUUCAUACCCACGGAAUGCUAAAAAGCUAGUUUCUUUACAGAACUUUUCAUUGAAGUUUCAAUACUGAAUUAUACCCCUCUAAUCAAACAGUCCCUUCAACCUGAUCCAGUUCUCUUAUCUACAGUGAGACUAUUAAUUAGCAUAGUGCAUUCUUAUUCACUACUUGUAGCUUUUCUCAAUAAUACUUGAUUAGAAAGCUUACCAAAAUAUGCAUAAUUGAUUAGAUCGAAUAGCUGGCUAAUUUCACCUACAAAUGCAAAUAUAAAGUGGCUGAUAUAAGUGGAAUGGGGUCUACUACUAUGGGACCUUUUGGAGUUUGCAGGCAUAAUAGUCCUUAACCAUCAAUUCAUGAAUGGGUUUUGUUAACAACCGAUGAAUUAUCAUUUGCUAGUCUUCUCAUUAUCGCAUAAUUAAUAGUGGUGGGCCGAAAAGCCAAGGAGAAUUGGUCAAUGAAAAACAAGAUGGGGGCCUCAGCUUGUGGUUGUUGGUGAGCUUUUGAGAUGGAUUCUUCACCAGCCUAGAUUUAUAUAUAUAUAGUUUGCUAGAAAUGAAAUUAUUGCAGUCUUUCACUCUUAAAAGAAGCUUUAAAACCAUGGGUGAUGGAGUAAAUAUGGCCAAGAUGCAUAUGUAUGGUUAGGAAUAUUCCACUCAUCAAAGAUAUUUUCCAAUUUAGAUAUAUGAGAAGUAUGCCAAAUAUAUAUACUGAUAUUGUAAUUUAAGUCAGAUGUGCAAAGAAAUUAGCAAACCCCGCCUUAGGCAUUUGAAAGUUCCUUCUUUCAGAGCAAAGUAAAAUCACUCGACUUCAUGGUUUGACCAGAAAGAAACACAAAAUCUAGUUGCCAAGAAAAAACUAUUGCAAGCAUAAGAACAUAAGACAUAUCAAUGGCCACGUACCUUGCUCUAACACCUAAAAAAAAGAAAAAUCUAGUCAAGGGAACUUCCGAAAAGAAGCUUAAAAUUCAAAUAAAAGUAUUGUUUGAAAGAAGGAACAAGGGAUAUUGAUGAAAAGAUCUCUCUCUUUACGGUAUAAACAAAGGUAAUCUAGCCUCCUUAGUAAGAUUAAAGAGAGGAACAAGUCGUCCCUAGUUCCCUUGUGCUGACAAAAUCUAAACCCUCUCUUCUAUUUUUCACUGCACAUUUUUUAAUAAAGAGGUAUGUUCAGAAAAUGAUCUUUUUUGCAUCCAACUUGCCAAAUUAUUUGAAGAAAAUUUUAGCAUUUCUUUUUCAUUUUUAAUUUUUUUUUUUUUUCUUUUGAAUAUGUUACCAUCAAAAGUUAAAAAAUGAUGAACAAUCCUCAUCCUGUUCAGCCAAAUUGACAUCAACUAACAAGCUUGGACUGACAAGUGUCCUUGUGUUAAUAAUUAUAAGCUCUCAAUGGUUUGAGUUUCCACCAAUCAUAAGAAAUUUUUUGACAGACUGAUAAUCAGCUUAUCUUGGCUCAUUUGCACCUUGAGACAGGUGAAAGAAUAAACUAGAAAUUCAGUCCUUUCUCCUAGGAAAAUCGAAACAAUGGGCUGAAAAGCUCAAGGGGACAUUAACUUUAUUAAUCACAUUAUCAAUUCAUCAUUUGGGGAGUGUCAUAAUCCAAUUUUUGGGUGGAAGGUUUAUCCAUAGGAAGCAAUAGCCAUCAGUUCUGAAUUAGAUGUUGGAAAAGGUACUAAUGGCCAACGCCAAGUCGCCAACCACUACUUAUCUUUCUAAUUAUCGUUAACUGAUCGGCAAGUGCUUGAUUCUUGUUAGUUUGCUUGUCCAAUUGCUCUUGGACCCCCCUGAUUACAACGCCAUGCACUAUUCCAUUUAGAAUAUUUACGUCAUUUUCAUGCAGGCAACUUGUAGGGAAAAAUGCUUUAUGUGUCAAAUCCACUUAGCCUGCAAUUAUGUUCUAAGAGAUAGAAAGAGUAUCUUGAAAAGUAAGGAAAAAGACACGAAAACGAAAAAGUGUCUGGAAAUUAAUUGGUCAUUUUUUUCCAAAAUUUCAUGGCUGUGUGGUUGCUCCCAAUAAGAAAGGGCACCUGACUACGACAAAAUAAGAGUAACUUCCGCUUGAAAAUUAAUCUCAGGAAAAGAUAUAUGUAUGUUAUACGUAGCUUGAAGCCCACGAAGUCUACUGCAAAAACUUGGAAAUUCUAUGCAAGUGAUGCUGUUCAGACUCGUCGACAAAACAGUAGAAGCUAAAGACUCUUGACUGCGACUAUUCAACAUAAAAUGUGAUUGAGAAGGAUACACACUGGUAUAAGACUUGGUCAGUCUUGUAUUUAAUUUUAUUAGAAUUCAUGGAAAAUAAGUCUUUUCAUGAUUAAUAGACCAGAGAGCAAGUGUCCUUUUCAGGAAUAAAGCCCUUCACACUUGGGUCAUAAUUUGCUUGGAGAACUUGGAAGUCUUGGCAAAUAAUUACGCUUAAAAGCUUGACAACUUUACAAGAAAGACUUAUCAGGAUAUCAUUUUUCCUCUAAAUUUUUAGGGUACAAAAAGGGAUAAAAAGUUGGCUAACUCAUGCCAAGGAAAUUUGGAGUUUAUGUUGGAUGGUAGUUGACUCAAGGAAACUUAUGGGAUUGAAGCAAACAUAAUACAAUUCUCGUACAAUUCUCGUACCCACACGGCAACCUAUUUGGGUAUCUUGGGGUUUUAGAAGUACAAUUCUCGUACUUGGUUUAGUUGAGUGUAGAUAGAGCACUACCACCUAAGGGGCUUUGGUGGAAAAGUCCCACCUUUCCAAAAAGGCAUAUUAAGUCACCCCUUUUUCCUUUUAGCUUGUGAUUCUGUUUACCCUUGUACUUCCCUCCUCUCCCCUCUUCUUCCCAUUUUUUUAUCUUUAUUUUUUCCAAAUCUGCCUAACUCCAACCUACCAACUUCAAAUCUCUCCUUUUUCGAAUUAAGGGUAGUCACCAGAACAUUCAAUCAUUUAUUUCUCCAAGUUUUAGGUUUGGUUCAACCCCUGAAUGAAGGUAUUGCUUCAAUCUCUACUCCCAAAUCAAUCCACUUCUAGGCCAGCUAGCUAGAUACCAUUAUUUGGAUGCUGAGAAGAAAUAACAAGAAAAUGAAAGAAUUUUGGCUUACUUGAUCUUAUUUUUCUUUUCUUUUUAAUUUUCUGUUGUGAUGUUUUUGUUUGUAAUCAUGUGCCUAGAUUUUUUUAGGUCAAGAAAGUGAGAAAAAGAAUAUGGAAAUGAAAAUAUAAUUCCUUUUGUUUUUCUUGAAACAAAAGAGGGAUUUGGAUUUUAGUAAGUACUUUAUAACUUGGGUUUUGGAAUUCUGCUUUUAUUCUUUGAUCAUUCUGGACAUGUAAGUCUAAUCUGAUAAUUUUAUUUAUCACUUUUUAUAAUCUUAUUAUAAUUUAAUAUCAAGUCGUCAAAUUAUGAAGUUUUGAGUAGUCUGUCUUACAUGAUGUUAAGAGCAUUGUGUGAUUGCAUUUUUUUUUCCUAUAGUAAAGUUCAAUUUUUGUAAUCAUUGAAUUUGUGAGAGUUUGGUUUAGAAGUUGAUAGUGCUUGUCGGUCCAAUGAGGGUAGGCAAUUAACUUAGAAAUUCCGAAUUUUUCAUUCACUUUUAUUAAUGAUUUGAUCUCAUUCACCUUGCAUAAUGAUGUAUUAUACAAGUAAAAUAUCUUCUAAAACUAUUGUUAUGCAUGCUUUAAUUAAAGAUAAAUGUCAUUAGUAUUAUUUUCCAUUGUCCAAUUUUGUGGUUAAAAAUGAGAUUGAUUUUAUUUUUUUAUUUUUUCUAAGUAAAUCAUAUCUAAUUCUAUAGGUCCAGUAAUUUGUUUUUGUAAUUGAAAAAUGCUAAGAACACAAAUAGAUGUUGAAUAUAUCAGGGAUGGAGUCUUGGUUGAACCUAUUGAUGUGUUUCUUAGGAUAAUAUUUGAACAAUUAUAGAAAUGAUAUACGUGUCAAUAGAAAACAUUUUCAAUUAAUCCUAAAUUAUAGAUAUCUAAUGUGAAGGAGAAGUAACUACGUUCCAACUUAGUCCAAUUAUGAAUGAUAAUGGUAUAACUUAGAUGUUAGAAUACCAAAGAAAUUUGGAAUGGAUAAAGUUGAAUUAUUUGUUAGAUAAAGGUUUAGAAUUUAGGAUAAGAUAUUCAAAAAUUUUGGUUUCUUCUUUGACUAAAACAUAGGUUUAUAGAUGACUCAGUCAUAUUUAAUUAAUGCAUUUAUUUAUGUUAGUGGCCUUGGUUGUUGAUAUAUUGAUACUACAAAUUCAUAACUUGAUUAAUCAAGUUUCUUGUAUUUAGGAGAAUAUUCAUGUUUUAGUGGAGACAUAUAAAAUUUUCUAAUUUCUAUUGUUAAAUUUAGUUGUUUAAUUCACUAAUUUUUUUGUUGAUAAUUGGACUAUGACAUUACAAUUUUCCUUUCCCCAACCAUACCAUUUUCCUUUCCCUUGCUUGAGUUAUCUACAUCAUUAUACAUACCUUUACUUGAGGUAUCCAUACUAGCCUCUUCCAUCCCCCUCCUACCACUAUUUGAGACUUUCCACACCAUUUACCCUUCCCCCCAUUUAAGCCAUUUGUAUCAUUAAACCCACCCCCAACUAAGUCAUUCAUACCAAUCCUUUCCUCUUCCCCUUCCCCCUCCCCAAGACUUCCACACUAUUUACCUUCCCCUACUUGAGCCAUAUUCUUCAUUGAACCCAUCUCCACCUAAGUGUCACGGACUUGGUAUUUUCCUAAGCUCAUGCAGCACUUAGAUAAGUCAAAACCCUUAAUCUUGCUAAGUUAGCCUUACUCCCGAUGCUUGGCUUGCUAGGCUAAAACGCACACAACUUGGAAGCUAGUAGGCAAUAGGAAGCUUUAUUACUCUCAAAUGAUGCUUUACAAAUGUUUUGGAACUCACUUGCUUGGUUAGGAAGUGAUUUUAGGUGGUUUUGGGCGGUGUCUUAGCCAAAUGAGGCCCUCACCUAUUUAUAGGCAUCAAUGAAAUUCUCUGGAACCCACAAAGGCUCCCUACUAUCCUAGAAUUAUCUAGAAGACUUUAUGCAAAAACUAUGUACAAGUAUUCUUUGAAAGUUUCUAGAACAUCUCAUAGGUUUCCCUUGUUUUCCACCCUUGAUGUAGAGAAGUGUUGGGUUUCCUUGUAUGUGAGGGAGUGGCCCCAUAUGCUUGGGGCCCAAGUCAGUUACAUUUAAAAAAAAAAAGUAAAUCGGGAAAAGAAAAACAGAGAGAAGAGAAGAGAGAGAGAGAAAAAAAAAACAUAUUUGCCCAUAUUUCAUCAACAAGUUGAUCUCGUUUCAUCUGUGGUCCGAUCGAGUUGAAAUUUGGAUGAGAGGUUUGAAACUCAAUUAACUACAAUCUGAACGGUGGAAAUUAGAUUUUGAUCUUGGGAACUGGUGUUACUGCCCAUGAACAAUAACGGCGUUUUUUAGGGUAUACUUUCUCCAAUUUUUCUUUAUUUCUUUUGCCAAAAGAAAUUGUAUAAUCCAAGGCUAUAUGUGCUCUUGAUGUAUUUGGCAGCAUCAAAUUAUUCUAGAGAAGACAGGUGUAACCCAUUAUUAUUGAUAGUGGAAGUUUGAACUGGACUAGGUCUCAUGGUUUUUCCCUUUGUAUUGGGGGGUUUUCCACGUAAAAAUUUUAGUGUCUGAUUUAUUUUUCUAUUGCAUGAGUUUAUUUAUUUAUUGUUGCUAGUUGCUAUUACCUAUUUAAUUUUGCACAAAGAAAUGGUAGAAAAAUUCUAGGGUUUGUUGGAAUAUUGUGAAUUCACCCUAACAAGUGGUAUCAGAACCAAGUUGAUUAGCAGUGGGAUCUCUUGUGUGAAUUAAAUGGAGAAGACUGACAAUGGAAUGAUUAAACUCGCAGCUUUCAAUUAUUCAAUUUGGAAUGCUAGGAUGGAGGAUAUUCUAUAUUACAAAGAAUUAUUUGAGCCCAUUGAAUGCAAGGGUUAUAAGUCAAUUACUACAACUGAGGAUGAGUGGAAGAAAUUAAAUAAGAAAACCAUUGGACAGAUUAGGUAGUGGGUUGAUCAGAGUGUCUUCCAUCAUGUAGCCAAGAAAGUUGGUGCAUAUAGCCUUUGGUAGAAAUUAGAGAGUCUUUAUGAGAGAAAUGCUGCACAGAACAAAGCCUUUAUGAUAAGAAGACUUGUGAAUUUAAAGUACAAAUAUGGUAAUAGUGUUGCAGAGCAUCUCAAUAAUUUUCCGGGACUGUUAAAUGAGUUGUCUACCAUGAAGCUUGAGCUAGAUGAUGAGGUACAAACUUUACUUUUAUUGAGUUCUUUACCAGACAGUUGGGAAACUUUGGUGGUAUCCUUGAGUAAUUCAGCCCCAAAUGGUGUGAUAAUUGUCAACAUGGUAAAAGACAACAUGUUUAAUGAAGAUUCUAGAAGAAAAGGGUUAGGUAUUUCCUCUAAUACAGAAGCACUUGUUACAAAGAGGCGGAGGAGAAGUAAAAGCAUAAAACCUUCCAAUGAUUAUAACCAUGACAAGUCAAAAGGAAAGUUAAAGUCCAGAAAAGAGAUAAAGUGUUUUUAUUGUGGCAAGUCAGGGCACAUUAAGAGAGAAUGCAAAAAAUUUAGAAGAGAACAAUUUAAAGGAAAAUGUGAAGAACAGAAAGAUGACAAAGACAUUGCAACAGUUGCAUUUGAUGGUGAUACGAUCAUUGUUUGUGAUGAUUUGUGUGUAAACCUGGCAUGCCAGGAUUCCACUUGGGUGGUUGAUACAACAACGUUGUUUCAUAUCACUACACGUAGAGAUUUCUUCUCUUCCUACACCAAUGGCAGUUUUGGUUGGGUUAUGAUGGAAAAUGAAGCAAAAUGUGAAAUUGUUGGCAUGAGAGAUGUAGAGCUAGAAACUAGCAUUAGGUGUAAAUUGGUUCUGAAAGAUGUUAGACAUGUUCCUGAAAUGCGCUUUAGUUUGAUCUCUGUUGGGAAGCUUGAUGAUGAGGGCUACCAUAGUCACCUUGGAGAUGGUAAAUGGAAGCUUACUAAGGGUUCUCUUGUUUUAGCUAGGGAGAAGAAAAACAAUACUCUCUACAAGACAGAAACGAGACUAGUCAAGGGAGAGGGGAACAUUAUUGAGAAUGAAGCAUCUACUGAGUUAUGGCAUAAGCGGCUUGGUCACAUAAGUGAAAAGGGACUUCAGGUUCUUUUCAGAAAGAAGUUUCUACUAGUUAAAGGUACGUCACUAUUACCUUGUACACAUUGUCUGUUUGGAAAGCAAAAUAGAGUUGCAUUUUGUAGAUUUCCUUCACAUAGAAAACCAGAUAUUCUUGAUUUAGUUCACACUGAUGUAUGUUGUAUGCAAAGUAAUACUCUUGGUGGCACACUAUAUUAUGUGACUUUUAUUGAUGAUCAUUCAAGAAAGGCGUGGGCAUAUGCUUUGAAAUCCAAAGACCAGGUACUUGAUGUAUUCAAAGAUUUUCAUGUGAAGGUUAAGAGACAAACUGGAAAGCAGUUAAAAUCUGUCAGAGCAAACAAUGGUGGUGAAUAUAGGGGGCCAUUUGAGCAAUACUGUAGAAGUCAUGGCAUCAGGCUUAAGAAGAUGGUUCCUAAGACCCCACAGCAAAAUGGUGUAGCUGAGAGAAUGAAUAGAAUCAUCUAUGACAGAACAAGGUGUAUGCUCUCUCAUGAAAAAUUGCCUAAGUCUUUUUGGGGUGAGUUCAUGAGGACAUUCGUUGAUUUGAUUAAUCUAUCUCCAUCAUAUCCUUUAGAGAGUGAUAUUCCAGAGAGGGUUUGGACAGGAAAAUUUAUUUCCUUUGAGCACUAAAGAGUGUUUGGCUGCAGGGCAUUUGUUCAUGUUCCUAAAGACGAGCUGUCCAAGCUUGACAGCAAGACUAAACAAUUUAUCUUCUUGGGUUAUUCAAAUGAAGAGUUUGGGUACAGGUUAUGGGAUUCAGCUACCAAAAAGAUUAUAAGAAGCGGAGAUGUUGUCUUCUUCGAAGAUCAAACCAUUGAAGACUUGGAUCAAGUUAAGAAGCCAAAGCCUUUUAGUAAAGAACAUAUUGAUUUGGGUCUAGUCUCUCCUAACUCUAUGGGACAUAAUGAACACAUGGAAGUUGUGCAAAAAGAACAAGUUGAUACAGUUGACAGAAAUGAUGAGUCGGCAGUUGACGAUGUAGAAGAAAAUCCUACAGUUGAGAAUGAUGGCUUAGAACAACAACAAGAACAAGCUAUUUCAAAGUUGCCUACUAAAACACAGUUAAGAAGAUCUACUAGAGAGCGUCAACCUUCCAAAAGGUAUACUAGUGAUGAGUAAUUGUUGCUUUCUGAUGGGGAGGAGUCAAAAAAUUAUCAAGAGGUUUUGCUGCAUGAUGAGAAAAAAAAGUGGUUGAGAGUUAUGCAUGAAGAGAUGAAAUCCUUGUAUAAGAACAACACUUACGAAUUGAUGGAGUUGCCUAAGGGUAAGAGAGCAUUGAAGAAUAAAUGGGUACUGAAAAGGGAGCCUGAACCAAACAGAUCAUAACCAAGGUACAGGGCAAGAUUGGUUGUGAAGGGUUUUAGUCAGAAGAAAGGCAUUGAAUUUGAAGAUAUUUUCUCGCCUAUGGUUAAGAUGUCUUCGAUCCGAGUUGUGUUAGGUUUGGCUACCAGUAUGAAUCUAGAGAUUAAACAGCUUAAUGUGAAGACUGUUUUCCUCCAUGGUGACUUAGAUGAGGAAAUAUAUAUGGAGUAACCAAAAGGGUUUACAAUCAAAGGCAAGGAACACUUAGUGUGUCAACUAAAGAAAAACUUGUAUGGUCUCAAGCAGGCACCAAGACAAUGGUACAAGAAGUUUGAUUCCUUCAUGGUUGAGCAUGGGUAUGAUAAAACUGCUUCUAAUCAUUGUAUGUUAUUCUCUGAUGGAGAAUUUAUUAUUCUCUUACUAUAUGUGGAUGACAUGUUGAUUGUUGGUCAUGAUACUGGUAAAAUUGAUAAACUGAAAAUUGAGAUGAGCAAGUCAUUUGAAAUGAAGAACUUGGGGUCUGCAAGUCAUAUUCUUGGUAUAAAGAUUUCUUGAGAUAGGACAAUUGGAAAAUUGUGGCUAUCUCAAGAAAACUAUAUUGAGAAGGUUUUAGACAAGUUCAACAUGGGUAAAGCAAAACCAGUGAAUUCUCCACUUGGAAGUCAUCUAAAAUUAAGUUCCAAACAAAGUCCUUCAAGUGAGAAAGAAAAAGAAGAAAUGCGAAAGGUGCCCUAUGCAUCAGCCGUGGGUAGCUUAAUGUAUGCCAUGGUGUGCAUGAGGCUUGAUAUUGCUCAUGUUGUUGGAGUUGUUAGCAGGUUCCUUUCUAAUCCUGGCAAAAAACAUUGGGCUGCAAUGAAAUGGAUUCUCAGGUAUCUAAGGAGUACUUAUAAGACAUGUUUAUGUUUUGGGACUGAAAAUUUUGUGCUUGUAGAUGCACAGAUGCAGAUAUGGUAGGGGAUGAUGAUUCUAGAAAGUCGACUUCUGGUUAUUUGAUCACUUUUUUAGGGAGAGCAGUGUCAUGGCAAUCAAGGUUGCAAAAAUGUGUUGUUUUAUCGACCAUAGAGGUUGAGUAUAUUGUUAUCAUUGAAGCUAGCAAGGAGUUACUAUAGAUGAAGAAGUUCUUACAAGAAUUGUGUUUAUAGCAAGAAAGGUAUCUACUCUACUGUGAUAGUUAGAGUGCUAUUCAUCUCAAUAAAAAUCCAACUUUUCACUCUAGAUCCAAGCAUAUUGAUGUGAGAUAUCAUUGGAUUCGUGAUGCACUAGAGAUGAAAUUGUUUUGCCUUGAGAAAAUCUGUAUUGAUGAGAAUGGAUCAAAUAUGAUGACAAAACCAAUACCUAUAGAGAAGCUACAAUUCUGUAGAAAGCAAGCGGGCUUGGUAGAGCUCCUCACAUAGUUGGGAGGGGGAGAUUUGUUGGGCUCCCUCGUAUGUGAGGGUGUGGGCCCCAUAUGCUUGGGGCCCAAGUCAGUUACAUUUAUAAAAAAAAAANNNNNNNNNNNNNNNNNNNNNNNNNNNNNNNNNNNNNNNNNNNNNNNNNNNNNNNNNNNNNNNNNNNNNNNNNNNNNNNNNNNNNNNNNNNNNNNNNNNNAAAAAAAAAGUAAUUCGGGAAAAAGAAAAACAAAGAGAAGAGAAGAGAGGAAAAAAAAAAACGUCUGCCCAAAUUUCAUCAACAAGCCAAUCCCACUUCAUCUGUGAUCCGAUCGAGUUGAAAUUUGGAGAAAAUGUUCAAAACUCGAGUAGCUACAAUUUGAACGGUGGAGAUCAAAUUUUGAGCUCGGGAACUGGUGUUACUGCCCAUUAACAGUAACGACAUUUUUUGGGGUAUACUUUCUCCAAUUUUUCUUUGUUUCUUUUGCCAAGGGAAAUUGUAUAAUCCAAGGCUAUAUGUGCUCUUGAUGUAUUUGGCAGCCUCUAGAGAUUAUUCUAGAGAAGACAUGUCACGCCCCAAGACCCACACCAAGGGUGUGACGAUCAUUUCACACCUCAAACCCGAAGGCUUAAAUUGUAACCUGACCCAAACAUUUAUCUUGUAACUAGAAGUUACCCAUUAUCAAAUACCUGUUCAGAGUAGCGGAACAAAAUUUUAAAAUCUUCAAAACUUAACUUUAAAACUAAGCAUCCAUCAACCAAAAUCCAUUAUCCAAAUAGAUUUCAAAUUCAAACAAUUCAAGUGCUAACAAAAAUUUUCAUAAUCUCCAAAUCUCAAUUUCAAACUAUCUUUAAAAAAAUUUUAAAGUUCAAUAUCUAAAUAGCUUCCAAAAUCCAAAUAAUCCAAAUGAACAUAAACUUAUAAGCUAACAAUGUCUAAAAUAACAUCAUAAGCAAAAUCCUAAUGAUGACCAUUCCUCGACCUAGCCAUCACUCAUCGCCCAAACUAAGGGUACCUGAAAAGUAAUAGACAAAUAGGAAUGAGCUCAAAGCCCAAUAAGGAACAUUAAUGCAGUCCAUGGAUCAAAUAUUUCAAGUUCACUUACAAAAUAGGAUAUAUUAUAACUAAUUAUUUUCAUAAUCCUUUGAGUUAGUUUUGCCAAUACAUUCAAAACUUGUAAUUGUAUACUUUCAUUUCUUAUUCAAACAUUUUCAUAUCAAAUUCAGUCAAAACAUUCAAAUCAUUUAUUUACUCUAAUCAUCAAACAUUAAAUGGUGCCCAAUUAGGUAGAACUUUUCAAAUAGGUGGCUAGCCUCAAAUUGUUCCUUUAAGGUGGACGAAACCAAACACUACUAGUACUAGUAACCUCUAACCAAACCCCUAGAGGCUGAAGUCCAAAUCAAUUACAUUCCCCACCAAGAAAUGUAAAGGUCAACUAUAAUAUCUCGUUGACAAGGGUCAAAAAGUCAUAAGUCAACUAUUAUAUCUCGUUGACAAAAGUCAAACACUUAUUUCAAUUAUUCAAAUUUGCAAAACAUAAUAUCUCUAAAUUUCUCUGUUGUAAACAAAAUAUAAGAUUCAAACAUACUUUUCAUGCAAAACAUAUUUGAUCCAUGUAUAAAAAGAAUAAUAACUCAAAACGUUUCCAAAUGAUGUAUAUAAAAAUUUGUUUCUAAAAAAAAAUAACUGCAUUAAUUUCUCUUACCUCAAAAGAAGUCCUCAAAAACUUGGGAGAAAAAUAAUUCUGGAAAACCAACUUUUCACCUAACAAAGUAUAAGAAAAAUAACCAUUACUAUUUAUCUAAAAUUAUAGGUUUGACAAUCCUAAAAUUUUAGAUAUUCAAAAUAAUGUUUUUAAUUAUGAAAGAUAAUUUAAUAUAUUCCUAUUUUAGAAUAUUAAUAAAUUUCUAAUUCAUAUAAAACUUAAAUUUUAUUUUCAAUUUAUUUCUUAGGACACAACAUAAUUUAAUUAAACUACAAUUUAUUCUAUUAAUUAAAUUUUACGCUACUUAUUAACUUACACUCAUCAUUAGUAUAAUAAUAUUGAUAACUUCUAUUCUCUCACUUUCAAUUUUUUUUUUUUUCCACUAAACAUAAAUUGUAUCCCAAUAAUUCUCCAUAUUUUCUAACAUAAUAAUACAUGUAUAAAUUAACUACCAACACACUCCCCUACACAUCUCCCUUCUUAUUAAUAAUAAUAAUAUUAUUUUUUUCACCACUCUUCAUUUUCCACAAGCACGCAUUCUUCUCCUUUUUUUUUUUAUUCGUUUGUUUUUUUUUUUUUAAUCUAUAGGAGUUAUGCACACAUAGAGAUCACACCCUUUUUUUUUAUAAUAAUUUCCAAUCCCUUAACCCACAUAUAAAAAAAUAUAAUUAUUUACUCAUUUAAUUUUUUUUUUCAUUGAUUAGAUCUAAUCAUCUAAGAAAAUUUUGAAUUUCCCCAUUAUCACCAAUGGAACAACCUAUAUUCAUAAUUUCAAUAUUUUGACCUAAAAAAUUUAAAUGGAUUAACCCUAGCCUAUGUUGAAAUCUUCCAGAGAAUCAUUUUUUUUUUCAAAAACUUAAGAUUUCUCAAUUUCUAACAACAAAACCACCAAUAAUCCUAAAUUUCCAAUAUUUUGAUAUUAAAACGAAUUAAAAAAAUAAACUAACCCUAAUCUAAAUUAUUAUUUUUUUCAAAGAAUAACUAGCGUGUUCAGAACUAACUAACGAAUAUAAUAUAUUAAUUUAGGGUUAGAAUCUUACUUGGAAAGACCUGAACUUUAACUCUGAACCUCUAACCUUUGAGCCCUAUGAUCUCCAAUUCCCUAAUUCUGGUUGAUAGGGUUUUCUGAAUGAAGAAGACAAAAGGAAAAAAAUUCAAUUUACCUAGAAUUUUUUUUUUAAUUAUGAAAGGACUUUUUCACCCUUAAUGAAUUUAAUGAAUUACUUAAUUACUUUAUAAAUUACUAUUUUACCUCUAGAUUAAAUUUUGGGGUGUUACAAGACAGGUGUAACCUAAUAUUGUUGAUAGUGGAAUUUUGAACUGGACUAGGUCCCAUGGUUUUUCCCUUCGCAUUGGGGGGGUUUUUUACGUAAAAAUUCUGGUGUCUAAUUUAUUUUUCUAUUGCAUGAGUUUAUUUAUUUAUUACUGCUAGUUGCUAUUACCUAUUUAAUUUUACACAAAGAAAUGGUAGAAAAAUUCUGAGGUUUGUUGGAAUAUUGUGAAUUCCCCCUAACAAGAAGUGUGAGUGUCUCUAGCCAUUUUUAAAACCUUCCACACUCUUCCUACCAAUGGCUAAGUGUAGGUGGUUUUAGGAGUCUUCAAAAGCUUCCUACCCUCUAUAUAAGCCCAUGAGAAGGCUCAUUUGAAUAGGUCGUGACAUAAGGCAUACAUACUAGCCCUCCCACUUGACACUUCCAUACCAUCUAUCAUCAUCCCACUUGAGCCAUCUAUAUCAUUUAAUGCACCCCUACAUGAGGCUUCUAUGCUAGGUCAUUACUUCCACCUAAGACCUCCACACGAUAUGUCAUCUCCAACUUAAGCCAUAAUAUACAUCAUUAGAUCCACCCUUACUUGAGACUUUCGUACCAUCCCUUUUACUUGUACUUGAGACCACUAUAUGACUUACCAUCUCAACAUCCACUAUACCUAUUAAGAUAGAUAUCACUGUCCCAAAUACCAUGGUAGCAAAGGUCAUAACACCUUUACCUUUACUUGAUGGGAAAUCUCAUGCUACACAACUUGAUGUACACAUACCUAGGAGACAUUGCGCACCACGUAUAUGUCAAGUUCUAUCUUUGCUAAUUCUAUCUUUGUCGAACAACAUAGGUAAAUCCUAUAUCAUAAUAUACAUAGUUAGAGACCUUUCAAAUUGAUAGAUGGAUCCAACAUAUAGAAUCAUGUACUAUAAAUAUUCCGAGAGAAAGAGAAAAAUUCUAUCAUAAGGCACACAUCAAGGAUUUCUGCAUUUUUUUUUUAUCUUACUACACAAUAUUCAUCUAUUUUUAGAAAAAACUAUUACAUAUUUAAAUGAAAAUAUAGAAAUUUUAAACUUACAUACCAUGGAUAUCAUAUGCAAUGAAUGAUUAAAAAAAAACCUAGUUUAACUACAUAAUACAACAUAGCUAAUUCACACAUUCAUUAAAUAUUAAAUAAUCAAAGUGGUAAUAAGAAGUAUACAAAUUGUUAAUCUCAAUGUCCUCUAUAUUUUCUUUGGAAAUACAACUGUAACGACCCGCUUCCAACCAUGUAUAUAUUGUCCGCUUUCGCUUUGAGCCCAAGAAGGCCCUCACGGCUUUAAAACACAUCUACUUUGUUAAGAGAAACAUUUACAUAUAUAACGUCAGGAACAUUCUCCCCUAUCCGAUGUGGGACAUUCUCCCCUAUCCGAUGUGGGACAUUCUCCCCUAUCCGAUGUGGGACAUCACAAACACCCCCCCCAUGCAGACACAACGUCCUCGUUGUGUCCCAUGGGAUUGCGGGUCAAACAGACAAACACCAGGCCAAACAAACCCCCACAUCGGGGUUGGGGAUCGGCUCUAAUACCAUUCUGUCAUGACCCACUUCUAACUAUGUAGAUAUUGUCCGCUUUGGGCCCAAAAAGGCCCUCACAGCUUUAAAACGCAUCUAUUUGGUUAAGAGGAGCCUCUACAUAUAUAGCACUAGGAACAUUCUCUCCUAUCCGAUGUGGAACAUCACAACAACUCAUAAGGUAGUGACCUUUUUGAAUAAGCAUUCAAUUUUCAUCUUUUCAUAUUUGCAAAAUUGUUGUUAUCCAUUUUUGAAGGUUUUGUUUGAUUUGAUUUUAAUAUGAUUUAAAAUGUGUUUAACAGUAAUUUUUCGAAGUGUUUUCAAUAUUUCUAAUACUUGAAAGACAAAAAUUUUCAAAUAUUAGAAAUAUUUCUUAGAAUUACUUGUCAAUUUAGAAUUCUAAUUUUACUAUAUUAAAUAAAUAAAAUAAAAUAUUUUAUUUAAAAAAAUUAAUUUUAAAAUAAAUCAAUUAAAAAUAAAUUUUGAUUUAAUAUAAUUCCUAGAUAUCAACUAAAAUAGGAUUUUUUUUUUUUAGAAUUUUAAUCAAAUAACUAAAAAUUUUAAAAAUUUUGAUUUAAUAGAAAACAUAUUUUAGUAUAAAAUUAUUUAAUAGUAAAUCUUUAUUUUGUAAAAGGAUAAAUAAUAGAGCUUCUAGCUAUGAGAAUUUAUUUAUUUUUUAAAAUUAUCUUUGACUAUAAGAAAUUACAAUUCAAAUAUAAUUUGUACCAUAAUAAAAAUAAUAGCAAAUUAUUAAAAUAUUGUAAUAAGACCAUAUAUAUAUAGAAAUUUUAUGUUAUAUCAAAACUUUUUUUUUUAAAACUAAAUUGUAUUUAUAAUAUUCCAAGGGUAUUAUAGCCUAGUAAAUUGUACAAUUAAUUCCAUCAUCAAUAAAUUAAAACGUGACAUGGGUAAUUGUGAUGAUCCUAAUUUUAUAUCAAAAACUAAAAGUGCACUUGAUAGUGAUUUUAGAAAGUAUUUAUAAAGUUUUUAAUAUUUAAAAUUUUUUAAGUUUAUUUGGUAAUUGAUUUCAAUAAUAGUUUUCUGUUAUUCAGAAAAAUAUAUUUGUCAACCAAAAAUUGUUCUUGAUAAUAGAAAAUAGGGAGAAUUACCCAAAAUGGUGGGUUGGGCAAAACAAUUACUAGAAAAGGUGUAUCUUUUAAUAAUUCUUGGGGAGGACUUUAAUAGGCUUAAUAUACCAAAACUGCCCUUUAACUAAAACUUUUAAAAUUUAAAGCAUUUAAAGCACUUCACUUGAUUUGUCAAUACAUUUAUGGUACACGGGUCCCACAUUUAUUGUAAUUAUUGAUAUUUAAAUUUUAAAUCAAAAUUUUGGGUUUAACCUUUACAAUUAUAUAUAAUUUGUUAUUUAAAUUUACUAUUUAAAACAAAAAUACUUUUAAAAAAUAUUUUCAAAAUAUCAUUUAUUGUUUUUUUACCUUUUUUAUUUUUAUUCUAAUUUUUAAUUUUAUGAAGAAAAAAAUAAGUUUUAUAAUUAUAUAAUAAAAAUGAUGAUUUUUUCAUAUAUAUAUAUAUAUAUAUAUAUAUUAUAAUUUUAAAUUGAUAAAUUAUGCUUUUGUAUUAAAUUUAAGGAAGAUAAAAUGUUUAAUUUUUCAUUCAGAUUCUCUAAAAAGAAUAAGAAAAUGAUAGAGAAUGUUUAAUUAUUUUUUAUUUUUAUAAUAAAAUAAUUAAAAAAAAUUUAUAUGAUUUUUUUUUCCUUUGCAUAGUGUUUUUUUUUUUUCAUAUAAAUUUUUUUUUUCAAUGCAUUGAAUGGAUGAUGUUAAUAUAUUUGAUAUGCUGAAUAUUAAUAAGGUAUAAAAGGUGAUUCUCAAGAUUAUUACUUUUAUUAUAAAAUACAGGCACAACAAAAAUAUGUUAUAAUUACAAUAUAAAUACACUUACAUUACAAUACAUUACAAUAAAACCUAAUUAAGAAAUUUAUGAAAUUUUUUAUAAAAAUGGUAAUUUUGUAUAAUCAUACUAUAUUUCACAACAUACUUAUAUCAUAAAUAAUUUUGAAAUAAAAUGAAAUACAAAUUUGAAUUCACGUAGUUUAUAUAUAUAUAUAUAUAUAUAUAUAUAUAUAUAUAUAUAUAUAUAUAUAUAUAUACAAAAAUUAUUAAAUAAUUUUAAAACACUAAAUAAAUAUUGUUAAUAUAUUAAUACGAUGUGUUAAUACCAAUAGGGUAUGAAUAAACAUUUUUAGAAUUAUUACUUUUAUAAUGAAAUAUAGGUACGAUAUAAAUGCAUUAUACUUACAAUAUAAAUACACUAUUAUUAUAAUAUAUUACAACAUAAUUUAAUUUAUUUUUAUUUAAUUUUUUCACAUGCUAUAUUAUCCAAUGAAUAAUUGGGAGUUAUUCCAUUUAAUAGGUGUGUGUUAGUCAAUUGGAUAUUUAUAUAUUAUUCAAUUGAUGAGUGGUCGUAAAAAAUAAUUAUUCAUUAUAUUAUGAUAACAAAGUUUUUAAUUGUAUGUUUUAUAUAUAAAACGAUAUAAUAACUUUAGGAUAUAGUUUUUAUUUAUGAGAUAUUAAAAAUUAUUUUUUUUUACAAGGUUCUUUAAGAAAUCUCAAUUUUUUUGAAAAAAAAAUAGCAAAUUUUUAAAUAGACAAUUGUUCAAAAGUGACAACAAUUUUUUCAAGUUCAGAAAUGUACCGUUGAUGGCCUAUCAACUUGUACUUAUCAUCAUAUAUGGGCCCCACGUCAUUUAUUAACUUGUACUUAUCAUGAGCCCCACAUCAUUGACAAUCUCAAUUUAUUUAUAAAUAAUAUAGAAAACAUAUUCAAAAGUAAAAUUGUCUUCUAAAAGAGUGAACCUUCAUAGUCAUUAUUUUUUCCGGCCCACCCUUUUGGGUAAUUCUCCCUAGAAAAUAUAGUAUUUUCAUAUAACAGUUUUAGUUUUUUUAUUUAUUAGUUUCACUUGUUUUCUAAUAAUUAUUUUAAAAAGCGAUUAUAGAAACAUGUAAAAUGAUUUAAAAUAAGAUAAUAAAUAUAAAAAUUAUUUUUAAAACAUAUUUAAAAAUAUUAAAAAUGAGUAAAAAAUAUAUAGGUUUUCAAACAUAUUUUUGUUUUAUAAAAUAUUAAAAAAUAUUUUUUAAAAAGGUUGUUAAAAACAAUUUUUUAUAAUUGUUUUCCAAAAUAAUUACUACACUCAAACUUUAUUUUUCAAGUACGAGAUAAAUUAAAAAUAUUUCCUAAAAUUAACCUCGCGUAAAUGCCAAUAAAUUUCUUUCAAAUUUAAUUUUGACAUUUUCCAAAAUUAAUUUCGAAUGAGCUUGUUGAAGAAGCAACUUCCACUAGGGGGCAUUUUGGUGUGGACCAGUCAGACAAAUCCUAUUUGGAAUUCUUCUUAGAGAAGCCAAAAAGUGAAUAGUCGCGGGAAAGCUCUUCUUCUCUCUCUAAUUCGAAAGCAACAAGUAUCUGAAGAUGGAUUUGGACCCAGAUGAUAUUUUCAAGGACGACGAAGACGACCCAGAUAAUGACCUGGUUGGUUUUUUUGUUCAUCUGUCCCCAACAAGCUUUUUAACCUUACAACUUCCAGAUGCAUUUCAAUUUUUUGUAUGGGACUUUGGGUGAGUGUCUGAAUCUUGAAUUCUUGUUUAGGAAAAAGCAUCGACCAAAGAGUUUGUGGUUUAUCUUGUGGAUGCUUCGCCCAAAAUGUUCAGCACCACUUUUCAAGGGGUAAGUUUCUUUUAGCUGCAUUCAUUUGGAUUUUGCAGUGUACUUUGUUUGUUUACCUGGAAAAUGUUUCAAGGCAGUGUUUUAGAUCAGAGUUUGGGACUGGUCAGAUUUAUUGAUAAAUGAAAGGAAAAAAAAAAAGAAAGAAGAGUGAGAGAAGGUGUGGGAGGGAAAAUGCUUGAAGGGUUUAUAAGCGAACCAAAAAUAUGUAUCGAACUAACAUGCAUUACAUAAUCAUGAAACAUCUUAAUGUUGCAGGGGUUCUAUUUGAGGAUUGUGAGGUGUUUACUGUUAGCUUGUGCAUGUUAUGUAGUUGGUGAAGUGUCACUUAGUCACUUCUAGGAGAAAUGGAUUGUGCAUGUUACAUAUUUGAUGCAAUGCCUCUUAGUCCUUUCUAGGAAAGCCUAUUAUUUGUUGCAAAAUGAUACUUGUUUAAUUUUCUUUCUUCUCUAUCAAACAACUUUCUACCCCAUGCAAAAUAGUUCAAGCAAGCUCCUAGGUCAAUGCAUGCAAAUAGCAUAUGAAAUCUGAGGAUGAUUGAAUCUGUUUGAUCUAUCUAUUUGAUAUAAUGUUAUUCAGUCUAAUUUGUCAUCUGGUUGUUGCACUGGAGCUUCUGUACUAAUGGAAGACAUGCUACAUCACUGUGCAUAAAAAGGUUGACUGUUAGUUGCUUUGAUUUGCUUGCCAUUUGAUUAAUUGGUCAAAAUGCUUUGGCUUAAUAAGAAAAACAGAAGAAGAUACUCUCCUGGUUGGCUUUUUAGUUGAAUAAAUCCAUAUCAAUGUGCUCCUUUAGGGAGAAGUAUUCAGAUGUUUUAUAACUUCAUGGACGAAAUGUGAAUGACGCAUCUUUAUUUUUCAAUAUUUUCAGGAAGAUCAAAAGGAUGAAACUCCUUUUCAUGCUGCCGUUAGCUGUAUUUCCCAGUCACUGAAGACUCAAAUCAUCAAUAACUCUAAUGAUGAAGUAGCAAUAUGCUUCUUCAACACUGUAAGCUGGUGACCUUGUGAUGAAUUGAAAUGUUUAUUUGCCUGGAUUCAUUCAACAAGAUGCUUUACUGAUGUCUUUUCAAAAUAUGGUUAUCUAGCUUUUCCUUUUCUUCCUUUUGGUUUUUGUUUAAAUGACUUGUGCUUCCUUUCUUGAAUCCUACAAUGUUGUGUUAAGUGAUAAUUUAUGUGAAGUCUCUAAAUUUGCAAUUUCAAUGGCUGAAGCACAAGCUAUACCUUGCUUGCUUUUUCCAUUUCAUUCUUCACUUACUUGAAAGCAUUCAGGGAUCUCAAUCCAUGAAUUAUGUUCACUUAGAUAUGUCUCUUCUAGUUUGAUAGUCCAUUCAUCAUCUAAUUCCAUAUGCAAGAGCUAAAAUGAAUUCUAACUCUCCCUCUUUAUUUGCAUUGGCUGAAAGUUGAUAUUACGCUUCACAAAGACUAACAGCUUUACUAUUGUUGCUCUAAGAGGUUUCUUUUUCUGGAAUGCAAAUGAUCUAAAGUAAUCUGAUUUCAUCACAUCUCAUGGUGCUACAGAAAAGACAGAGUGCCAGUAUAGUUAGCCUUGGAAACCCCAUUCAUAAACUACCAUAAUUUUCUGUCCACAAUGCUAAAGAACACAUUGAUAGUUAAGUCCAAAGCAUGUAAUAAGAUUAAAGUUAUAGUACACAAUUCAUGAAUUGACAGUUUGUGAGAUAUACUGGGUUUCUUCUUACUUGUUGUGACAGUAAUCAUAUUAAUACCAAGCAUGCCUUUGGCUGUAUGAAACCUGUCUGCUUAGGCAUUUGUCUUAAGCCUCUUUCAAUAGAUGGUCAAAUCCUUAUAAUAGCCUUGUACAAUCCUAAUUCAAUUUCAGUAUCUGGGUUGGUGUUGGGAUCAUAGUAAAAACAAAGAGGAAAAAAGCAAACUAAAUCAAUUUUGAGCUUCAAAACUCAAAUUGGUAUAAAAUUAAAGUUAUGAGAAGGAAUAAACUUCAGUAUGUUAUGUGCCGGAGGCCAGGCAGUUUAGUGAUCAUCCCAUGAAGAUGCUAGUCAUGGGCAAGAUUCUAUAGAUGAGGAAGGGGACUUGCAAGGUGUUUUAUGUUUCCAUUAAUAUGUNNNNNNNNNNNNNNNNNNNNNNNNNNNNNNNNNNNNNNNNNNNNNNNNNNNNNNNNNNNNNNNNNNNNNNNNNNNNNNNNNNNNNNNNNNNNNNNNNNNNAAGAUUCUAUAUAUCGAGGAAGGGGACUUGCUUGUUGUUUUAUGUUCCAUUAAUAUGUAGCUAGAUGUUGUGUAAAUCCGGCUGGGAUGAUGAUGAAGCUGUGAAGUGGGAGGUUUAGAACAGGAGGAUGUAAUGGAUUGAUCCUUAGUAAGAUUUUGAGAUUUGGUAAUUCUUGGGUUUCUCUUCUAAGCAGGAGAUGAAGUUAUGAGAGCUUCUAAGGCCAUUGGAAAAAAAGAGUCACAAAGAGGGAAUUUUGCAAAAGGGAUGAGGUUUAGCUCUAAGAAAGGAAGGCAAUUGAGAAAGUUAUGUCAUUGUUUAACUAUGAGGGAAGGUAAACUAGGAGUAGUAGGGGUAGAGAGAGAAUUUUAAGGGGGAGGGGGCAUAUGGUCUUAUGGAGCUAUAUGUCACAAGAUGCUUCAAAUGACCCACCCCAUGGGCUUAUAUAGGAGGUGGGAGGCUUCUAGAGACCCUUGGAGGCAUCUACACUUAGCUACAAAUUGGAAGAGUAUGGAAGCUUCUAGAGAGGGCUAGAGAUGUCCACACAUCUCUACACUUGGCUAGGAGAGCAUUGGAAUAGUGUGGGGUGGUUCUAGAAUCUUCCAAAGUCAUCUUGUAGAUACCCUUGUACAUAGACUAGUGUAGGGGCUUCUAGAUUAUUCUUGAGUUGUAAGGAACCCUCCAAGGUUCCAGAGAAUUCCAUUGGUGCCUAUAAAUAGGUGAGACCCUCAUUUGGCCAAGACACCACCCAAAUCACUUCCUAACCAAGCAAGUGAGUUCCCAAAAGCGCUUGUAAAGCUUCCUUUGAGCAAUAAAAGUUUCCAUUUUUCAAGAGUUGCCUACUACGUCUUCUAAAGCUUCCGAGUUGUGAGCAUCUUAGCCUAAUAAGUUAAGCAUUGGGAGUAAGGCCGACUUAGCAAGAUCAAGUGUCUUGACUUGUCUAAGUGUCGCACGAGCUUAGGAAAAGACUAAGUCCGUGACAUAUAUGUCUUAUCUUGGAAUGUUGAAGAGCGAACCAAUGCUUCAGGGAUGGACAGGUCAAGGUGGUUUGCUUUCAGGAGAAUAAAAUGUAAGUACGUGUUUAUAGAGGGUGUGAAUUUGGGAAUCUACCUAUUUUUUUUUUAUUGGGAAUUAUUAGGAACUUGUGUGUCUGUGGAUGGUGUCAUUUUGGCAUGGGAAAAGGGUGAUGGUUGGGUUGGGGAAUAAAGGUGGCUGCCUACUAAGUAUAAUGCAAAUUCAGAGUAGUAGAUGAUGGUUUUGGAGCUGUGUUUAUAAAGGUCAAUUGGUUAGUGGAUGGGAGGGGAAAAGGAGAUUUUUGGGAGGAACCUUGGUGGUUAGUCUAUGAUUCAAUUUCUUUCGUUCUUUCUUUCUAUCUUUUUUUUUUUUUUUUUUUAAAUAUACAUAGUUUGAUUUUGUGGGUGGGGGUUGAGGGAAGGGUAGGAGGAGAUCAUUGAGUAUUGGGAGGGUUAAUAUGGUUCAGUUCCUCUUUGCAAGUCUAAGUUGCAAUAGAAUCUCAGCCAAGAUGGGAAGGAUUUCUUUGGUUUUUCUUAGCAGUAUUUCUUAUGGAAUGAGGAGCACAUAGGUCAACAACCAGGAAAGCUAGUAUGUCUUCUUGGGUGUGCUUCAUUUUUAUUCUUUUCUCUCUACUUAGGUCUUCCUUUUAGGACCCCCUAAAGCUCUAUAGUGUGGGAUUUUUUGUUGGAGAGGAGAAGAGGCUGGCUAUGUGUUAAAGGCAGGAUCUCUUGAAGAGGGAACUUACUUUGAUUGAAAAGUAUGUUUCAUGUCUCUUCUAGGCUUUCAGGACCAUUAAUUUAGAAUAAUUCAAGGAGGCUUUUCUUCUUCUUCUUGGUGGGGUAGGCUGGGAGAUGAAAAGAAGAUGCACCUAAUUUAUUGGAAGAUGACUUGUGAGCCUAUAGAAAAAGGUGUGUUGGGUUGCCAAAGGAUGAAGAAAGUGAAUAGGGUCUUACUAUGCAUAUGGUUGAAGAGAUUUGCUAUGGAAAAGGAUAGUUAAAGGAGAUGGCAUUGAGGAACUAUAGAACGAGUGUGGUGGAUUGUGGUUCAGAAUAGUUAUGGAAUCUUCUGCUGUGGGGAUGUGGAAGGGGACAAGUAAAGGUUGGGUGGAGUUGUUCACACACCAAAAAGUGCAGAAUGGAUGGCAAGUUCAUUUCUGGGAUAAUGAUUGGUGCAAAGAGGAAACCUUGAGAGUGAGGGUGGCAGAUUACUAGGCAUGGGGGGUAAGGUAUGGCCAGUGAAAUUUGACCUUUGUCUCUAUGUUCAAGAUUGAGAAAUAGAGGAAGUGCUCUCUUUUAUGAAAUUUCUGCUAAAUAGCCUGUGCAGCUUUUGUUCAGUUUGCUUGUGAGACAAGGAUUAUGGUUACUUUUGAAGUUCUUGAAUAUGGAUUUGAGUGAUCAAGCUUUAAAACUAUAUUCUAUUUGUUAUUUGGUUCAAUCCCAAAUAGAACCAAUCCUUACUCUCUGUUUUGUUUGCAGAGGGAAAAGAAGAAUUUGCAGGACUUGAAUGGAGUUUUUGUAUUUAAUGUUGCUGAAAGGGAGUACUUGGACAGGCCUACUGCUAGGCUAAUAAAAGAAUUUGAUCGUAUAGAAGGUAAGCUUGGGUGCUUGGGGUUGUUUUUUUUCUUUUUUUCUUUUUUAGCAAUUUCUGUUUUAUGGUGAUAUUUGCUGAAUCUUUAAUCACAGUAAGCAUUUUUUGUUUAUGCAGGACUCUCCUACUUUUUAAAAUUAUACUAUUUGGUGAAUUUUACAUGCUCAUGUUUUUAAACUCACAUAAAGCUUAAUGUAUUUUUUCCACUCCUGGGGAUAUUAAGUUCCAUUCAAGAUUAACAUUGACCAUUUUACUACUACUCAGUGCUUUGAAAUCAUAAGACAACUUCUAUCUAUUUCUUUAUCAGAUAAGAAAAUAUCUUGAACGAGUUUGUCGACAUUUGUUUGUUUUGUUUCUGUCAAAUCUUCCUUUUAAGAAGAAUUGCUUUAUGGCAUAGUGGUUUCAAAUUUACAAAUGAUAAUGUCAUUCUGACUUCAUAGUUCAUCCUUCUACAGCAGUCAUAGAUAGGGUAAUUGUUGUAACAGUUAUAUCCUAGUGUUAUCUCCAUGAGGGAGUUUAUUUAUGGGAUCAGGCAUGCAUGAAUCUAUGAACUUUAAGCUGGGUUGUAAUUGUUUUUGGAUCAUAGAUGACAUUUAGAGGAUGCAAAUCGAAGUUGCUAACAUUCUGACAAAGCCAAUCAAAGAUUGGUUGUUCAAUAAUGUGUCUGAUCCAAUUCAUUCACAAUAUGCAAACCCUAUUUCUCCCUUUUCAAUAUUCAUCAUUCGACCAACAAUGAAAAUUCAAUCACUUGAGUUUCCAGGUUCAAGUCUCAAUGGGGACAAAAAUUGACCUAUUGGGGAAAAAAAUUCAAUCACCUAAUUUACAUAGGUUAAUACAUAUGCAUGUGUAAUCUUAGCUAAAAAUUGCCUCAAAAUUGAGCCAGAAGAAUAAACUGGAUAGACACACAAAAAAAAAAAUGAAAGAACAUUUUUAAGUAUACAAGUCACUGAAAAAUCAGGACAGAAAAAGUUAGCAAGCGCACAAAUAGCACAUCCAGAAGUGGAGAAUUAAUGAAAAUGGCACCCAAAAAAAAAAAAAUCAUUGUUUUGACAACGAAAGGAAGAACUCCUGUCAAUGAAGGUCAUAAAAAACCUAAGUACAAAGAGAGAACAGCAGUAAGUGGUGGAACUGCCUCCACUGGUGAAUAUAAGAUACACAUGAUUGAUAUCCUAAUGAUACACAAGAGGAAAAAAUCACUACUCUACUGUGCAAACCCUUGGGAUUGGUAAAAUGAUACAAACUCUCUCUGGUAUAGAAUUGCUAGUUGUUCAAAAUAUUAUUUUGGUAAACAGGUUGACAUAGGCAUGAAAUCUUUGGAAAACCAAGUAAACUGUAAUUUGAGCAAGGUGGGACUUACAGGGGCAAUUAUGGUCUUAGGAAUCUAUGAAUUAGUAUUAUCAAAGAGUGAAGGAGAAAAAUUAUUGUUUAUUAAUGCCUUAUUUGUGAAGGAUACUUAUUGAAUGAAAUUGUUGCCUCAUAAGUAAACUGUUGCCAUGCAGAAUUGUUCAUGAAAGAAAUUGGGAGUCAGUAUGGUAUCAUGUCUGGAUCUCGCGAAAAUUCUCUUUACAAUGCUCUCUGGGCGGCACAAGCGUUGCUGCGUAAAGGGUGAUGCUACAUUUAUUUUUCUUUCAUUCCCUGCUUGGUUCUUUCUCUUUUCCAUUUUUUCCUUUCUUACUUUAAAAAAAUGACUUCCUCUUGUAUCCUAAGACACAUAUAUAUGGCCUUUUGCAUAAAUUGGCAAUGAAAUAUUUCAGGUCUGCAAAGACAGCUGAUAAGCGAAUACUCUUGUUUACGAAUGAAGACGACCCUUUUGGGAGUAUCACAGGGGCAACAAAAAUGGAUAUGACAAGAACCACGUUGCAACGGGCUAAAGUACUGAUUAAUUUAUGCAUUAGUUGCACAUACUUAAUAAUUCCAUGCCUUCUUGUAUAAGGAAAUUUCAUUUUUUAGAUGGAGCCACUUGUUCAAUUUUUCAGGAUACACAAGAUCUUGGCAUCUCAAUUGAACUCCUCCCCUUGAGUUGCCCUGACGAGGAAUUUAAUGUUUCUGCUUUUUAUGCUGUACGUCCAUCAUGUCUGAAAACCUUUUAUUAUUGAUUAGAUUAAUUUGCACCAGUAAACCACUUUCACAUGUCUGUCUUUUAGGAUUUAAUAGGAUUGGAAGGUGAUGACCUUGCUCUAUUUAUGCCCUCAGUAGGGGACAAGUAAGUGUUUCUUUCUAAAUUUUCUCUUAAGAUAUUUCACUUUGCGACUAAAAGGACCAUUGUUUGCGUUUUAUGUUUUUUUUUAACAGGCAAAUCAGAGUUUAUAUGCAUUGCAAACAUUUGUUCCUUUUGACAAAUUUUUCAUUUUUAUAUCAAUGAAGUAACUUGAUGUGAAAAACCACCUUAUCAGAUUCAGUAUGCUUUGAUGGUUAUGGUUAAGUAUCUUCCAGGCAUGGACCAAUAUUCCCGAUCAUUUUCAGGUUGAAAUUUCAUGUUCAAUGCUAAAUGGGUGUUUGAAUGCUAUAUGUAACAGCCUGAAUUUGGGAAUGCUGUCUUGCCUGCUGGCAUGCAAGAAAAGCUAACAUAUCACUAGGGUAUAGAAGUUCAACCAAGAUGUAAAUAUCUGGCUUUUUACAUGAACUGUAACCUUGAGUUCAUGAGUUAAUGACAACAUCAGCACAGAUAGAAAAUGAAAUUCUUGUCUAUCCUCUACUUGACCUGAAGUUUCCCUAGCAUGCAACUUGGAUUAUGACCUCUGAGUCUUUGACCAGAUUCUAAACUCAAGUGACAGUAGUUUCUGAAAUUAUAAGUUUUCCAAUUUCAGAUUGACAGACAUGAAAAAUCAGCUGAGAAAGCGUAUGUUUAAGAAGCGUGUGGUUAGAAGAAUCACAUUUUCAAUUGUCAAAGGCCUAUCUAUUGAACUGAAUACAUAUGCUUUGAUCCGUCCGACUGUUCCUGGUAUAUCUCACCAUUUGCCAAGUUUCAGUUAUUCACUACAAGCCAUCUUCUUGCAUCUUUUGUAUGUUGUUAAAUAUUUGUUUCCAUGAUUUCUUUUCAUAGGGACAAUUACCUGGCUUGACUCUAUCACCAACCUUCCUUUAAAGGUACCACUGCUUUGUGACAUUAUAUGUCUUCUAUCCUGUGUAUACAUGCAUAUGGUUAAAACUUUUUAUAUGGUAUUAGUACUCAAUAGGGUGUUUGGUUUGCUAAUAUCUAAGCUUGGGAAUGGGAAUGCUAUGGAUGUAGAUCUUCCAGUUCCCUCAUUUGACUAUUAUCAGAAUUUUGAGACCCCCUGCCCAAAGUUCAUGUGCAUUUUAACGUUUGAUUACCCUCUAAAAGUUAGAUUAUUAUAAAUGAGGGUAUUUGAAAUGGACACACUUGCCCUCUUUCUUUUCUUUUUUUAUUUUCCUAAGAAUGAGAAUAAAAAUACCAAAGCAGCUAUAGGUAAGAGAUGUCACACCCAAUCUGGGAGGAUAUGGUAUUCCAGGAAAUUAAAGUUGUCAAGGUUACGUGUUUCCCAGACUGGAUCACUUUAUAUCUAAGAAUGAGAUACUCAUUACCUAGUCAAAAUACACAUCAAACAAACACAGCCUCAGGGUAUUGCAGACUAAUGAUGGCAAUUUAUAAGUUUAUGUAGGUUUGGCAGUGAUAUUCAGUAUUUCGCUUUUAAAGGCCCAUAUUAUCCAUCAGUUUGAUGCUUCUGUAGUUUUGGAAAAAGUGGUUCACGUAGGAAUUAUUUUUUGUUAUAGAAUCACAGUAUACCUUUCCAGCCAAAUGAUUCUCAAAGUGGCUGGCAAAUCAUAGCACCAGAUCAAUUGUCUCUAAGUUUACCCUGGAAAGAAAAAAGUGGCGUUGGAAUAUAUUUUGGAGCUAUCUCAAAAAGGCUAAACUAGAGAGAAUAGCUUUUGACAAAGCUCAGAUGGUUAUUUUUUUCCCAUUUCUAAUAUUUUUUUAAGACCUUGGCAUUGCAUUGCAAUAUUAAUGUAUUAUUUAUAGAUGAAGUUAAUGAUACAUAUUUGCUCUGGUUGAUUCCUACUUAUCAAACUAAUUCUGAAUUGGUGCUUCAUUCAUUGUUCCAGAAAAAUUAUUGUUUUAGAUAGGGUUCGCAUGCUGCAAGAACUAGUUGUAACUUAAACUUCUGCAAUAUUCACUUGAUGCAGACAGAGAGAUCUUUCAUCUGUGCAGAUACUGGGGCUUUGGUUCAACCAACUAAACGUUUUCAUCCUUAUAAAAAGUAAAUUUAUUUUCUUUAUAAUGCUCCUUUUUAGUUCUCUUAAUUGAUUUAAAAUAUUCCCUUUUUUUAAGAAAUCCUUCACCAGUUUGACUUUGCAAUAUUCCCUUUUUAGUUCUUAUAUGUAUAUAGAAAUCUUCAGUAUUUAUAAAUUUAACUAUUGACAUUGUAUUGUUUUUUUUUUUUUUUUUUAAAUUGAGCUUACUCUUUUUCAUUUGCUUUUCAGUAAAAAUGUUAAGUUUACAACAGAAGAGCUAUCAGAAGUGAAAAGAAUUUCAACUGGACAUCUUCGCCUUCUAGGAUUCAAACCUUUGAGUUGCUUAAAAGAUUACCACAACUUGAGGCCAUCAACAUUCGUUUUUCCUACUGACAAGGUUACUCUGACUUGCUUUUGUUUUGCUUCUUGUUUUCAUUCUACUUUUUUUCCCCCUUUCAAGGAUCUAUCACAAUAUUGAGUUGCUAAGGUAUUUGCUGAUGGCUUGAUGUGAUCAUUUAAUUUAGUGACUAAGUGAUAACACUUCUUAUAUUUGUUUUCUCACAAGUUGAUGUGAUACAUAUUAAUCUCUGUCUCUGUCUGUCUGUUUGUCUGUCUAUUUAUGUGUUUAUGUAAUCAAGAUAACAAAAAGGCAUAUGGAUCCCCACCUUUAAACAUGAAAUUCAGCUGCAGUUGCUUAAAUUCAUAUCCUUUGUCAGGCAAGCAUUUGUACAGGUGACUUAUUUUAAGCCUGAUGCUUCAUUGGGAACAGUUCUCGAGUGAAUAAAAUAUUUUGACUUCUGUGAUGCUUCUAUUACUCCAGUGGAUGCAAGUUUGUAACUUUUGUUUCUUUUCAAGAACAUCUCUCUCCAACAACACAUGAAUAAUUUCUCCUUUCACAAUAUUUAACAAGAGAGCAGAUGAGGAUCCAAUUUGCCCCCUGGACAUGAAAAUCAGCAUCCAAGAUCCAUUGAUGACACUGGAAAGUGUCAAGGUAAAUGCUCAGUGUAUUCUAAAGAAGCUAAAGGACUCUGCAGAAAAAGAGCCCAUAGAUUUGAAGUGGAUAAAAAAUAAGAUCUCCCUCUAACAUAAACUAAUCUGGUGUAAUCUUGUCAACCUCACUGAUAUUUUGGGAUGUGCCAUGCUUCUCAUUAUCCAAGAUAUCAAGUUAGUUUUGGCAUGAAGGCUGUCCCCUCCAAAUUAUAUUUACCAUUUUAGUUUUUAUCAAAAGAAAUAAGUGGUUAUGGAUCAGAUGGCUCCAUACAGUCAUAAUCCACAUAACAUCUAUAGAAGAGUGGGGGAAGGUUGAAAAUGGACUGGUGUAAAGUUCUGAGUGGUUACAAGGUAGCAGUGUUUACGCAACAUCUUUUCUUGUUACAUAAAAAAUUUCCCAGGUUGUUUAAUGUUGAUUAUAUGUAGCACUUCUUUGUGUUCCACCACUUGAUGGUGAAAAAUAAUUAUAUCUACCUUUUCCAAAUUUUUCAUACAUUGGCAGCUCAGUAAGUAUUAUUGUACUUAGGACAACACCUUGGCAACCAACAACAGCAACCUCACUGAGAUAGUUUGUCUUACUAUUUUUACAUAUAUUUUAAUAUUUUCCAGAGCUAACUCUUCUUUUGUUUGUUAUUCAAUGCAGGAAGUGGUUGGUAGUACUUGCAUUUUUAUUGCCCUCCAUAGAUCCAUGUUAAGGCUUAAACGGUUGGUAGUCUACAUGUGUAUUCUCAUGUGCUAGUAUAUUACUCAGGCUUAUCCACUGCAUUAACAUUUGUCAUGUUUAUUCCCACGCCUUAUACUUCAGUUGUGGAACAGUUUCAUCAUCAUGAUAACCAUGUGUUGUUCGUUUCAAUUUUCAGGUGUUCUUUGUACAGAGAAUAGUUGUUUUGCACUAUAACUUUUCUACUUAGUUGAUGCCUGGUUAAAAUUCUAAAACACAGUGCCUUUAAUUUUCUUUUUUUUUUCUUUCCAUCAAUUGACCAGAGGGAUGAAACUGAAGAUUAAAAGUGAUAAAAUCCAUGUUUCUGAUCAAAAAAGAAAAAAAGUGAUAAAAUCAAGAGGUGAUGUACUCCAUCCCUCAUGCUUUUCAAUUAUGUUUUUUUUUUUUUUUUCCAAAAACAACUCCUUGCAGAUUUUCUUUCGUCUUUCUGUUUAUUUUUAUUUUUCUGUCUCUUUUCUACAACAUAUUUUUAGCCAUCAUGUUCACUUACACCAGCAUAAGUGCUAGAGCUCAUGCUUAUUUUUCUUUUUUGCCUGGCCUACUGUUUGACUACACGUAUUAUUACAAUUAUUUUUUAUUCUUAACUUCUCAAACAUGUUUCAUGCUGGAUGGCAUUUGAAGCUAGUAUCCAUGACAAUUCUGAAAGAUUGUCUGGACGCACUAUAAUUAGCAAUUAGCCUGUUGCUUGUGCAUCCUGUUCUUUCUUGGAGGUACAUUACAUACUGCUGCUUACUUUGAAAUAGUAUAUCAUAGUUAUAAUUUUGAGAUUUCCAUGUUUCUUCAGUUUUGCAGUUGCAUUUUAUGGCGGUUCAGCUCAUCCUCAAUUGGUUGCCCUUGUUGCACAAGUAAGAUGCCAACUUUAGUCAGAACUGGUGAAAAAAGUGGUGAUAUGCUAAAAAUUCUAGAAUUCAUCAGUGUAUUGAAAUUAUAUAAAAUCUUCUAUCCACUCAUUUAUCUGAAAUCAGCAUCAACCAAUAAUGAUGGGGUACAAAGGAUGAAAUGAUGUGGUUUAGUCAAUCUGAAAGUCCGAGUAAAAUUGUAAUUGUUAUUUUCAUGUUUCUAAGUUAUUCUUUACAUUUUGCACUUAUGAUAAAACUCUAAUUUUGAUGAAACUGCAGGAUGAGAUCAUUGCUGGUGGUGUUCAGGUUGAGCCACCAGGCAUGCAUAUGAUAUAUCUUCCAUAUUCUGAUGAUAUCAGACACAUCGAAGAGGCAAGAGAGAACUUUGAGUUGGUUAAAGAUGCUCUUCAGUAAGACUGACUUUAUAACUAAGGAAUUCAAUUACAUUUUGCAGCUUCAUUCGGAUAUAACUGUCCCAACACCUCGAGCAACUGAUGAUCAAAUAAAAAAGGCCACUGCUUUAAUGAGGCGCAUAGACUUGAAGGAUUUUUCAGUAUGCCAAUUUGCCAAUCCGGGUAAAAUCAUCAUAUUCUGCAUUGCUAAUUGUAGCUUAAAAAUAAGAUGGUUUCUUUGCAUAUGGUGUGCGAUUCUCUUGUGAUGGCUGUUUACUGUGUAUCUAACUUAUCUGCCUACUUCUGAAGUUCCCUAGAAACAAAAAUUGUACCAAAAAAAUAAAAAAAACAAACAAAAAAAAAGGUGGCUUUUUUUGGUCUGUAAAUUUUUUUUAUCCCUAGGGAAGAUCUCUGCAAUGGUAAAUUAUAUGACUUUUGAGAGUGUCUAUUUUGCAGUUAGAAGUCUCACUUCUUGCAAAACUACCAUUGAAACUCACCUGUAGACCCCAUUUUCUGGAAAACAAAAAAAAUAGGUUUGUAAUUUUGAAUUUGCCUAUUGACAUAAACCUUAUGGAAAUCUCAGUGUGGAUAAGUUAUUAUACUUUACAACAUUUUUAUUAAUUUUUGAAUGAUGAAACAUGAUAAUUUAUCCACUUGCAGAUAUAUUAUGCUACCUUCAUCUUGGUCAAUUCUGAAACUACAUCAUUCUCUUCAACUCUGGACCACAAAGAACAAUUGAUUGAUCUGAGAAACUCAAGGGUUGAUUCUGUCAUACUGUCAACAUCCCUGGAUAUAUUGAUCUUCACAAUACUCUAGGAUUUGUUAAUACACUCACUUGUACUCAAGCUUCAGUCUUUGGAAUUGAUGUCCUUGUGGAUUUAAUGAAUAUAAUGAUUUUUGUUUAAAUGAAAUGGGAAAUGGAAUGCCGGGUUGAUUUCUAUCUGAAUUUUCACUUUUGAUUCUCAGUAUGUAACAGAGUAACUUCCUGCAGCCUUGCAGAGACAUUAUGCAGUGCUACAGGCUCUAGCCCUGGAAGAAGAUGAGAUGCCUGAAAUCAAAGACGAAACUCUUCCAGAUGAGGAAGGGAUGGCUAGGUAAAUGGAAGCAUCUCUACUUGCCACAUCUUUUCUAUCCACCACUCUUUUUGCUUUUGUCCACUGCCCUUGAUUUUUGAAGAAAUUUUGUUUUUAUGGAUUUCCAAGUUGAAGCAAUGUCCAUUAUGUGUGUGGCCUACAGACCAGGAGUUGUCAAUGCAUUGGAAGAAUUCAAGAAGUCUGUCUAUGGGGAAAACUACAAUGAAGAAGAUGAAGGUCAUGGAAAAGCAAGUGAUGCCUCCAAAAAACGAAAAGCUGUUGCUGAAAAUGCUGUUAAGGAAUCAGCAAAAUAUGACUGGGCUGACCUUGCAGACAAUGGAAGGGUAAAAUGCAAUGUGCUUGUUUUUUGUGUUGCAAUUUGGUAUUGAAUUUUGUCGCUUGAGUGAAGUGAAAUAAAUUGAACCAAAAUGAGAUUUAGUGGUACAGCCACACUGAAUUGGGAUUAAAAUAAAAUCCAAAAAUCAGCUUAAGUUUGAUGCUAUCUGGAUGGUGUAUAAUUCAUGCAUGUUUUGCAGUUGAAAGAUUUGACGACAGUGGAGUUGAAGUACUACCUGACGGCGCAUAACCUUGCAGUUGGUGGAAAGAAGGAAGUUUUGAUCAGCAGGAUCUUAACUCACAUGGGAAAAUGAGGUGCUGCUUUCAGGCUGAUCAAUUUUGCCCCCAGCAGAGUAAGCUUUUGGUGAACAAGGGGAGAAAACAAAACCCACUAGUUUUGCUUGUAACUUUAGCUCAACCUUUGCACUUUGGGUUUUGGAAUCAUGUUUCUGAGAACUCACAGGGUUCUUCCUGGUGAUGAUAGCAAAAUUAGCAAUUGAUUUGGAAUUAUGUUGUAUGGAAUUCCAAAUCACAAAACUGUUCAUCAAAUUCAGUUCCUAAAAGGGGUGGAAGACCUAAUUUUAUGGUUCAAAAAUUUGCCCUUUUCCGCAAAUGAAUCAAAGUAAAUCUUGAGAACCAAAUCAUGGAGUCUCAAGCAAAAUGGCCUGUGUUUGGACUUUUGCUUCCAAAUUGGGCCAAGAUCCUAGUGUCCUGAACCAAGGAUAGUGGUCAUUACAUGGCCAAGACUUGGGCUAGUAUCGGAGGAGUGCGCCAGGCCCAAGCAGUAGUGCAACGCUAGGGCGACGCUCGAGGAUCCCAAUAGCAAGCUAUUGUGGUGGACCCUCCCCCUUAAAAAAUUAAUUUAAUAUCAUGUGGGACGAUGUCCCACGUAUCAGAUAUUAAACUGAUAAGAACAGAUACUACACUUGAUCUUAGCCAAAAGGCCGAGAAAGGUAUGCUUCUCUCUGUCUCUUCCUCUUCUUUUUAUAUCCCUUAGUGUUGAUGCUCCUUUCAUUCAUGGCCGAUGUGGGACUCCCAUUCCUCUACAAGUAUUUAAUAAUAUAAUAUAAUGAGGUGGGGUUGAUUUGAGAUAUUUGGUUAAAAAGUACUAAAAUCAAAUUUUAUAAUCAAUGAAUUACUUAUUUUAGGGAUUUUUCGAUGGGAUUAGAGUUAAUUAGAUAUGUUUUGAAAAGUGACUUAAUAACUUAAUUUAAGUUUUUAAAUAAAUUAAGUAUAUUGGUAUAAUAAUUUAAUGAUACAAUUUUAAAGUCAAAAAUAAUUUUAAAUAAUAAAUAAAAAUAAUUAAUUUAUUUUUAAAUUCACAUCUUCAUUUUACUUAUUCAUCUUCAUUAAUUUUAAUUACCUUCAUAAUCCCCUUUUUUAUUCCUUAACAUCCUUUACCCUAAUUAUAAUUUAUAAAAAUAAAUAUAUCAAUUUAUGAUUUAAAAUAAAUUUUAAAUUAAUUUUAUCAAAUAACCUUAAUGAUAAAAUUAAAUAAUAAAUUUUAAAUUUAUAAUUUAAUAUAAAAUCAAUUUUUAACACAUUCUAAAUGUCACCAUUAUUAUAGUGACGCAGGAGAAUCAAUUAUUUACAAGUCUUGAGAUGAAGAUGAAGUUAUAAUGAUGAGAAAAAAAGAUCAAAUUUUCUCGAAUUUUCAGAAGAAAAAAAACAGCCUUAACUUCUAUCCACCAUUUUUAUUGGAUUAUUAAAUAUUAUCCCAUUUAUUAUUUAAAUGAGAAUUUCAACAAAGAAAAAUGGAGAGAAUUAUGAAGCUGAGUGGAAAUUGAGAUUGAACACUCCGAUUUGCUGCCGUAAAGGGCUAAGAGAAAUCAUGAUGUACCUACAAGAACCCAAAAUAUUUUUACAAUGUGAUUAUGAGGGAGCCUGAGACGAUACGCCAACUAGUAGGCACUAUCAGACACUAAUAAGCGUUUGUGUAGCCAGGCGUAUUAAGCUUAAGAGUACAAAUCGAACCAGCUUAGAAUUGGGCUUAGACUUGGGACUACAUCCAGCAGAACAUAUAUUAGGUCACCUGGUCACCAGAAAAUAAAAGGCAAAAAGGAAAACCAAUAAUUCCCAUAAAUUGUCCACAUGAUUUAAAGAAUAGACUGUUUUACAUCCAGCAGGGAGCUACCCCUUAGAAGCUCCUCGCACUGUGCUCAAAACUCCCAACCCCGAGUUGGCCCAAUAAUUCAGAAACUACCCCAUAAAUAUCGACUAUACUCCGGCCCAAAAAGAAAAAGAAAAAAAAAAUGAUAAAAAUUGGAGACCACUCUUCACCAAAAAUUAUCAUUACAGCCAUCAAACACUGCACACCAUGCCCUCUAUCCAGAGAAAAAAAGAGUGAUUACAAAAGACAUCUUAUAAGCCCUGUAUGCAUGAAACCCUCACUGCUCUCACCCUCGUAGACAGCCUCAAGGGUUUAUGAAUGAAUAGAUACCCCUGGGAAAGGGAUAAUUCAGCCCAAAGAAAUGGAGACUAACCUACAGGAGACUCAAAAAAGGAAAAAGGGGCAAAAAAAGGGGGGAAAAUGACAACACAAACGGGUGCAGAAAGGCGAAUAGCCAGACUCACUCGGACAUGACUUUGCUUGAAUCCUCAAUUGGAGAAUUUCGGGAGCUCCAUUGUUCCCUAAUCCAUUUUUACUCCACAACAAACUUCGAACCUGGAGAACCUUCGUGACUCGUUGACCUCCAUGACCAUUGGACCAACCAAGAGCUCCAACAGAACUUGCAACUACUUCUUGGUAUCCUGAAACCAUUACUAGAUGAAUGGAAUAAACAAACAACAGGGACAGCAAAGCUAAUGUCAAGCCACCACACUGUCCUGAAAAUUGGAUCAUAAGGCACCCCCAGCUGAUGCCUUCUCCAUUUUUUCCUUUUCAAUCUCUACCCGCCUCUGUUCAGCAUGCUGGGCAACACCAUUAGCAAGUGCUUGAUAAUGGAAGUCAAGCGUCUGUGUAAGGUUCUGGAGCCUCAAUGGAUCUGAUGCUUGCAUGGCUAGAUUCAGAAAAUAGGGAAAAAUUAAAUUUCCAUGUCCGAAAGAAAAAAAAAAAGGCCCUGUGUUUCACACAGAUUGAAAAAUGAAUUUCUAUUUACCUUUGACAGUAUCCACGAAGAAAAUGAAAGGGUCCACCUCAUCAAUAGGUGAUUGCAACUCUUCAUCAUCACUGUAAUCAUUAUCCGAGUCAUCAUCGUCCUCAUCAUUUGGGCGAAGGUCCUUUGCCUGUGCAUCCAAAUAAUGUGUAUGAUCAGGAAGCAAAGAACACAAUGUUGUGAUUUUUUUUUUUUUUUUUUCUGGAAGGUAAAAUUUGUUGAUACUACACAAUGUUGUGAUAUACAAACAAAGAAAAUGAUAAAUAUUACACUUUCUGUGCAUAUAAGAAAUAAAUCUAUGAACAAAAACAAAAUCAUGAUACCAUUUGGCUGUUAAAUUUUGGCAUAUAAAAUAUUGAUUAAUUGAGGGAGCACUAUAGUCCUAUGCAUAAAUUAAAUAAAAAAAUCGACUCAUAAUAAAAUUUUCCUCUUUUUUUCUCUCUUAUACCUAAUCAUGUGACAUGGAUUCCUAGGAGAUGUUGAACUGUUCAGGAAUCAAAGAGCAGUAAAAUAGUUAACUUAAGCUCCAAAAAAAAGAUAAUCAUAGCAGUCAAGGCAACCAAUAAAACUAAGUGUCAGCCUAUAGCUGCUAUAAAGAACACCUCAACCCAGAGGACACUUAACUAGUGCCACCUUUUUGCUAGGGACUGCUGUUUUGUCCAUCAAAACAAACAAACAAACAAAUCAUAUCUUGAAUCUCCUCAAAAGCAUAUCCCUCAAAAAUAAUCUCAUGCCUCAUAAAUCCAAUAAACAAAAAACAUGGUAAACAUGGCACAAGAACACAAACACUUUUGCACCAUCAGAUUUCAUUUUUACCAAUUCUUUUAUGGACGGAGCUUCUCUUUCAUCAAUCUCAAGAGUCAAUUGGAUGGUGAACUGAUCAAAGAAAGCUUCUGAGCAUGUAGGAGAAGAAGAUAAUUGGGUUUGAUGGAUCAAGCAAGGCAGUAGUCCCUAUAAUCAAAUCUGUCUUUCACCCAUUUCAUUUUAUCAACAUGCAUUUUAAUUGUCUGCAACUUUUUUGUAAUAAGCUUUUUGCACUUCCAUAGGUUUCUGUUUCUCUGAGUGUAUCGACUAUACUAAGGGAUGACACCAAUACUGAGUCAUCUCAAGAUCACACCACUAAAUGCCUUAUUGGCAUACCAUGAUUGAUGCCAAUAGUUAAAACCAUUGUUUGAACUGAAAACAAAAUGAAAUCCAUUUUAAUGAGAAUACCCAAUAAUAGAUCUGAAAUGGUUGUAAAAACAGACCUGUGCUGCUAACUUCUGAAGUCUAAUACUGUCAGCUUCAUCCCCAUCCUCCGCAUCAAAUCCCAUUUCUUUGUCAGAACCAUCACCAUCUUCAUCUUCAUCAUCUGUUUGGAAACCAUCCAUAUCAUCAUCAUCGUCUUCGGCCUCUUCCUCCUUUGCAGCUUCUGUAAAUAUAAGAAUUUAAGAAAAGUGCACCAAAAUAGGACUAAGACUGUUGGAGCUUGCACUCAUUUUAUCAUUUGAAGGAAGCAGAAACAAAGUCCAAAAUUCAGCAGAAAGAGAGAGAGAGAGAGAGAAGACCUGCCACUUGAUCCUUGUAUGCAACUAGUAGAUCAAGAGUGGCCCUGAAAAUACGUCCCAAGGCCUCCCCUGGCAGCUGAUCAGCUGGAAGUGCGAGCAGUGAUGUUAACCCCAGGCAGCAAACUUUUUUAUCAUGUUCCCUGCAGCAAGAAAUUACAUUAUACUUCAUCAAUAUAUUUUUUGUUUUUGAUCAGGCAAAAAAAGAAAUUGCAUGAUACUCAAGCUCUUCUCUGGCUAAAGAGUCGAAUAAUAAAAAGUUUGGAGGAUGAGAGGAUUAAUAACCUCUUGAAAUUUGCCCGAACACCGCUCUUUUUAACUUGCUGCAACAUCUGGAACCAAAGGCCAAAAAUUUCUGUGGCAACACCUAACUUGUGCAAUAUGCUGAGAGUCAAGGCUGCAUUGUAGUAGAGAGCAUCUGCAAUCUGCAAAAGAAUGCAAAUAGCCUUUUUAAAAGAACAUUUUACCUCAAGAAGCUCCAGUGUAUCAUAAGAAUGUUAAAAGCACAUGCAUUGUACACUUGUAUAUAUGCCUACUAUAAUUCACUCAAUAAUUAGGAAUUAUUAACUUAAACAUUCAGACACAUGGAUCUGCACUUUAUUGAUAACAAAAUGGAUUACUAGUAAUCCUUGAUUACGGACAUAUCAAAUUGAUAAUCAAUCUUCCAUUAGAAGACUUUUUUAUACUCAAUCUUCCAGUAGAAGACAGCCUUUUUUAUUUCUUUUCCUUCCCUAGACUUCAUACUUACAGAUCCAACAUGAACUAGAUGAUGACCAAGAUCAGAAUUUGUAGGAUGAAAUAAGUAAAAGAAAAUUAUAUGGAGGCAGUGAAAUAUCAGAAAAUUUGACUUUCAUUAUUGUUCUGUAUCCAAAUUUAGGUAUUGUCCCCUCUUCCCAGAACUAGUUUUUUUGCUGUACAAACAUAGGAGAAAACAUUAGGAUGUUGCUAACCCAAUCAUUUCUCAGAUGAUAAAAUAUAUUCUUGAAAAAACAAAUAAUAUCCAUCAAUAUAGAAUCAACAUGUUAGAGCUAGCAAUGUAUCAGCGAUAAAGAUGAGUCUCCCAUCAUCGCACCUAGAACCAAAAAAAAAGUGAAACUUUUAAUUCAAAAUCUGCCACAAGAAAAAUGAAUUUUUUUAAUAAUGUGAUUCCACACAAAACAACAUUUGAAUAAGUCCUCUUAAGAAUCAAGAAACAGAGAAAACAAUGGAGAAAUAAAGGAUUUCAUAAAGAACAUGUAAAACAUAUGAAAUACCGUAACUGAGCAUGCAAAUAUUGGCCUGAAUUUUAAAAAUAUAAAACCUACGAAGCUAGAUGCUUAUGAGACAUCAGCAUUCAAAGGAUCAUGUGAACAUUUUCCCAAUAAAGAUGUUGACUCCCAGCUCCUUACCACUUGAAUGAGUAGACAUUUCAAGUAUGGCUUCUCUGCUCGACGCAACCGCUCAACUGUGAUUCUGAGAUAUGGCUCAACCCAUUGAUCUACCUGACCUCUGCAAUUCUGAAACACUACUUCAAUGAGCUUAGGAGCGGGUUCAAUAUCACUAUCCUCCAUAUUUCUAUCUGGCAUGAUCUGCAUAUGGGAAGCCAGAGCAAGUCAAUCUCACCAACCCAAGAAAGGAAGGGAAAAUGAGCCAAAAAAAUUCACAAAAACAUGAAACAAGUCUUCAGCAGAUCACAGAUCAACAUUUUCCUCAUGUUUUAAACCAAAAGCUUAUAGUCAGACCUAAUGAGGUAAAAUUAAAACUCACUGUUGAAAUCAUAUCCCAAAGGCUUUGCUGAUAGUUUGGAUCCUUGCAUGUGAGAAAAUGAGCAGUACUUCGGGAUAUAUAGUUGUCCAAUGGAACCAGAAUAUCUACACGGAAAAAAGAGCUUCAUUAGAACCACAAACAUAUAAGAAACGAUACCAAAGCUGCUUUACAACUAACAUAUUGUCUAGACAAGAAAAAUGUGUUAUUGGUCCAAUAUGCUAUUUGUAAGGCAUUAGGGAAUGUGAUAGAACAGUAUUCUAAGCCAAUUACAAAACUAGCCAAAGGUAACAAGCUAAAUAAUGAAUAAACUUGAAUAUAAGCAAUGGACAAUAUUCAACAUUUUCUCAAUUAAGGUUGUUGUUUGAGCUGGGAAACACAUCAUGGAUCACCAACAUGAAGAAUACUUCCAACAGAAGUUUAAAAUGUGAAUUGACAUGUGCAUAAAGGUUCAGUUUUGAUUCAAGCACUUCUGCAAGUAUCCUGGAAGCAAGUUAAGCAAAACAAUCAUUUCUCAUCCCUCUUUCUAAUAAAAUUUUGGGAUACCCAGAGUAUGAUCUCCCAAAACCACUAUUAUUAUUGUAUUUCUUUCUAUCGCAUCCUUCAGUUUGGAAUUAUCUUUUUGUGUAUCUCAUGUAUGUCUCCAACUAAAGGGAGUGUAAACUCAAGGUUUUAUUGCAGCAUAGCUACCAUCAGACACCUAUCAAUAUCACAGAUAAAACACUCUUUCAGGAACAUUAAUUAGUAAUACUAAUCAAAUGUUUUCUCUUGGUAAUACAUUCGUCACUUUUUCAAAGACCGGACUUUUCCCAUAUCAACUUUGUGUAAUUUGAUUAAUGAGAUGUUCACAUAUACCACAUGAGCAUAACUGACAAGGCUCUUGAAGAUUACAGAUAAUAAUGAUAAGAAAGGAUUUAUUUGCAUGCUCUUAUGUACUUAGCACGUUACUUUAUUACACCCCAUGAUUAGUUAAACGAUGUCAUAUAUUUCCAAAGAGAGAAAACAUACGGAAGGUCAGAACAAUAUUAUAUAGGCAAUAAAUUUUCAUCAUGCAAAAAGAGUAGGAAACUUCAGCUGUUGUUUUUUAUAGGCAAUGAUGUAAUUUUAUAAACAAUACAGAGGAUGCAUGCAACGAGCGCCAAAGAAACAACAAAAAAUGGCGCCAAGGAACAAUCAAAAAGAGAAAAAAACAAAAAAAACUCCCUCCUUUAACAAGACCCCAGCCAAUCAACUAAAUCAAUUAAAGGCAUUAUGCCUCCACAACUAGACUGUUAACCAAAAAGUCAAUAGCAAUAUAUCAAUUUCCCUGCAUCACUCUACAGCUUCCAUCAUACUAAUCCAAUUAUAAUGAGGCACACAAAGUUUAUCAAAGAAGCCAGCUUUUUCUUUCCUUUUUCUUCUCUUUUCUUUGUGUGCGUGUGUGUGUGUGUGAGCACAAGCACACGCAACAGGUUUGAUGACAUCACACCCUCAGGGAAGUUCUAUGGCAUUUCAGCAAUAACAUAAGGUGUGAUCCUUAUAAAUUGACAAAAAAAGUCUCACAUUUCUUAGAAAAUCAGAAAGAGAGUUCACCAUGAAAGUCCUAAUCAAACCCAGCAUUUGGAAGAAGCAAAUAAAAAACCAUCAACAAAAAGGUCUCAAGAUUCUACAAGACAUUGAAUGUUAUGUUUAAUAAUUUAAUGAAAACGUACUGGGAAAAAAAUCGAUUGCCCAAUCUGCCAGUGCUUCCAUCAUCAAAGGCCAAAGGCUCCACAUUUCCAAGGAGAUUGUCGGGGAAAAAAAUGUCAUAUAUGAUACAAUUUCCAAAACCUCUUCAAAAACCUCUGCAAAAAUGAUAAAUGAGUGUUAAAAGAGUCAUUGUACAAACAAGUGAUGCAUUCAACACAUAAGAAAGCAAUUCAAAAAACAAGGCAUCAAGGAACCACAAACAUUUUAUCCAAGAAAGAAUUCGAGCACAGCAACAAAUGAUUUAACUAAAAUUUAUAUUAGAAACUCACAGACGAUGACAUAAAAAUUUAAAAAAUCAUAUAAGAUUCAUUGCCAGAAGGAUUAUAAUGGGGAGACCAAAUUUUUAAAGUUCCUUUUCUGUAUUCCUUUUAGAUAAUUCAAAGACUACAUUUAACUUAUAUAUAUAAUCUGAUAGUUGGCAUCUCAGUUUGUUCAAAUCUUAAUGAUUAUGAAAAUUGAUGACUUGGCUUCUCUUCCCGUCCUGAGAGUCUACCUCUCUAUGCUUCCAGAUGAAAUACGCUGAACUCUAGCAAAUGCUAGAAACUAGAUUCAACAAGGCCUCUCUCCUACCAAAUUCAUUUGGAAGGGCAAAGCAAAAUGCAAACUUAAAGCCUUGGCUCGGUCAGUGACCCAUUAGGAGGCCAUUCAAAAUUCUUAACUUUCCAAUACGUGUUUUAUGUUUGGAUGACAGGGAGAUGAUUGAUUACCAUUAUCAGAUUGCCCCUCAGAUUAAGAGGGUUUUCAUUUCAUGUUAUUCAUUGGUUAGGUCUCAAGAGAGAUUUUUUUUUUUUUUUUUUUUUUGAUGGGCAAGGUCUCAGAGGGAUUACAAAGAAAACGAAGUGAUGAUGGAUACAUACUUCGCAGGAUUUGGUAGAAAGGCACAGACAGAACUCCAUGGUAUUAGUCCUUGCUAUUACAAGGAUUUUGGCUUGGAAAAUUGCAAGGAUAUUCAAUAAUAAGCAUGUGACUUUAGAAGAGAUUUGAAAUAGCAUAUUCUUCCAUAUGUAUCUGAGAAGAUAAAUGUCUCAUGAUAUAUCUCUGAGUUUCAAUAUAUCUCUGAGUCAGGCUUGUGGGAGACAAGUUCCUUUCUGGGCUCAGGACAACUACACAAAGAGUGUGUGGUUUCAUUGUGAAGGUGAAUCCUAUAUGAUCACGACCCUAGGAAUAUACUAAAACAAUCAGGGAGGUUAUACAUCACUCAGUUAGGCUAGGGGCAGAAGCAAUAUGAGAGUACAGAUUGGUGAAGUUGAAGCAAAACAUUUGGCAGAAGAGAGUCUCAAUAAAAUUCAUUUAUUUUUUUUUUUUUAUCAAUAAGCAAAAGAAUUGUAUUGCAAAGGGGCGCUAAAAUAGCGACCCACAGAAUUACAGUAUAAAUACUCACCCCCUUACAAAAGGACCCAAAACAACAAGGAAAAAACAAAAAACCUUCUCCCUCAUCGCGUACCCACCCAAUCUACAAGAUCUAUUAAGGUCGAAGGACCACCUUUUAUCCACAAUUUGGUUUCCGACCAAAGUAAAUACACAAAAGAAGCUUUCAACCUUUGGAUGGACAACACGCUAUCUUCUAAAGCAAUUCUAUUCCUUGCCUUCCAAACGACCCAAAACAAGCAUAACAGUCCCACUUGCCACACCUCCUUCCUCUUCUUACCCACAAAAGGGCCCCUCCACCCUAAAAGGGUUUCCUUUACCGAAGAAGGAAACACCCAAGAAACUCCAAAUAAAGAAAGGAGCAACAUCCACACUUCCCUUGUUUUUUCACAAUGAAGGAGGUGAUCAAUCGACUCCUCAAAAGUUUGGCACAAAAAGCAUCUAUUAUCCAAAGCCCAACCCCUCUUUUGCAAACGGUCCAAGGUUAGAACUCUUCCCCACGAAGCCUCCUAUGCAAAGAAACUUAAUUUGGGCUGCACACAAGAUUUCCAAAUAAUCUUCGAAGGAAAAGAAGCAAGAGAAACCGGUUGCAAAGCCCUAUAUAAAGACUUAACUGAAAAAAACCCCAUCCUUUGAAUCGAUCCACCUCACCCUAUCCUCCUCAUCCACACUAACCUUCUUCCAAUCCAAGCAACAAACAACCUUUCCACAUCUUCCAACUCCUAAUCAUUGAAAGGUCUAUUGAAACAAGGAUUCCAACUUCCCCCCCUUUCCCCCACGGCUGUCCAAACUUCAUUUACCCAAGCCUCUUUGGAACUUGCUAGAGCAAAUAAGGAAGGGAACACCUCGCACAAAGGAGUGGUUCAACACCACUUGUCUUUCCAGAACCUCACCUUCUUUCCAUCACCCACCACAAAGUCAAAAUAAGGGGUUACUAGAUGUCCCAACUUACUUAUUGCUUUCCACAACCCGACUCCAUAGGCCUCCCUAGCCUCACAAGAGCUCCACCCUCCUCUUUCCUCUCCGUAUUUCCUUCUAAUCACUUGGUUCCAAAGGGUCUUUCUUUCAAAAGCAAAGCGUCAAACCCACUUGCCAGGGAAAGCCUUAUUGAAAGUCCCAAGACUCUUAACCUCCAACCCUCCUUUACUUUUUUUCAACACAAACAAUCAACCACCUUACUAAGUGCGGUUUUUGCUCAAGAGCCCCACCACCUCACAAAAAAUCCCUUUGAAUCUUCUCCAAUCUCUUUCUAACUACCCUAGGCAGCUGGAAAAUAGACAUGAAAUAAUUCGUCAAAUUGGACAAAGUACUUCGCAAUAAGGUAAUCCUCUCCCCUUUUGAAAUGUAUUGACGUUUCCAUAUAGCCAAUCUCUUUCGGAAUCUUUCUUCUAUUCCAUUCCAAGCGGCGGCAGAUUUAAAAGGAGCACCCAACGGCAUUCCUACGUAGGUGGAGGGCAAUCUUUCCACCUUAUAACCAAACUCAUCAGCUAGAUCUUCCACAUUCUCAACUCUACCAACCGGAAUCAACUCAUUUUUUUCCAGAUUCACUCUUAACCCUGAAAUUGCCUCAAACCACAUUAACAGCCAGCACAAAUACGUCAACUGCUUCUCCUUUGCCUCACAAAAAAUCAACGUAUCAUCAGCAAACAAACAAGUGAAAGACCUGGACCCCUUCUUCCCCGAACCGAGCAAGGAGAUAAAAAACCUCCAACAACUACUCUCUUCAGCAAACAGUUGAAGGCCUCCAUCACAAUUACGAAUAUGUAAGGCGAAAGGGGAUCUCCUCGCCUUAAACCCCUUGAGCUCUAAAAAUAUUCAGUCGGGCUUCCAUUCACCAUAACUAAGAAUCUAGCAAUGGAUAAACACCACUUUAUCCAUCUACACCACCUUUCCCCAAACCCCAUCUUUUCCAUUACCGCUAAAAGAAAAGACCAGUCCACAUGAUCAUAAGUUUUCUCAAUAAAAUUCAUUUAUAGGGAGUCUCAAUAAAGCAAGGUUGAGGUUAGGUUUUGUUCGUUGGGUUUUGAGUCACUUUUGUAUUGCUCCUUUAUGAUAUCAAGAAUUGUCCACCGUUGAUCAUGUCAUUCUCUGUUUCUUGAAUAAUAUUAAAGACUAUUUCUGAAUUGCAGCUCAACUUUAACUGAAGUUUAGAAAUACAAUAAUCCAUGGAAGUCUCAAAUCAAUAACCUCAGAAGUAUAUAGAGAAACAGAAGUUCGAGAAGAGGAGCAUAGAUUAAGGGCAUUCAUAUAAGUCUUAUGGGAUCUCAUUCAUUUCUAUUCCUCCUUUUGGAGGCCUCAUGCACCACAAAAUUUAUGGGCACUCCUUUCGAAGUGGUUUAGAUCAAUUAGUGUUUGGUGUGUAGAUCGAAAGGUUGCGUUAGCAAGGAGAGGAUCAUAGAUUAGGUCUCUUUUGGAAGGAGAAGUUUAUCUAAUAUUGGAGCAAUGAGUUGUUCUUUUUGUAUAUUCCCUUGUGGUACUAUACUGAUGUAUAGGUCUACUUAGCAUGUUGGAGGUUUCAUUCACACUUUUUUUAUCAGUUCAUUAAAGCAGUAUGAUUCAUACCUUGGCCAUCAGUUGUCAACAUCCGACGCAUUAUAGGAAGCAGUGUUGGCUCGAUCUGCACAAAAAGGUGAGGAAGCCUGCUCACUGAUUCAAGAAUUGUGCUUAUAGCACGCAAACAACCAACUGCAGCCAAAGCACCAGGAUCAUCAGCUUCAUCGUCAGCUUCAGCAGUGUUCAUACACCUCCAAAAUGCAGCAGCCUGGAGAAAGAAAAAUAAGAUCCAAGUACACAUGAUAGAAAACUGCAGCAUACAUAUUCCCAGAAAAGGAAGGAAAAGAUCAUACCAAAUUCUGGCAUAAUCCAAGAGCAUAAGGUGCCAUCUCCUCCCCAAACUUGUCGACAAUUGUCUCAAGUGUAAACACGAGAUCCUCAUUCUCAACCUCAUUCAUAAGUUUGAAAAACUCUGAAGAAAGUGAAAACAAGAUGAACAUCCUCGAAAAGUCGCACAUGAAAGACUGUUACUAGUAUAUUAUAUAUAUGAAAAAAAGGUUGUUACCAAUAAUUUAUCAAAACCACAUACCAUCAAGAAGUUGAGGAAGAAUUGGACGGAUCUCAUUCAAAUCUGCACAUGGACAGAAUCCACUUUCCAUCAAGCACCAAAUCUCCGUAAAUAAUAAAAAUUAACAUUAAAAGAGGAGAAGUACCUUUGCAUGCUUCAACAAAAGAACGCAAUGCAAACACUGAAUCAACACGAACUGGAAGCUCAGGAUCGCGCAACCCAGAAACAACACUAUGCAGCGCUUUCCGGAAAUUAUUCUGAUCUGAGAAAUUAAUGUGGGCAUAUUGUCCCGCAACCCAUGCAGCCUAAUAUUCCUCACCAUAAAUAAGUAAAAUCUCACAGAAAGGAUAGCAGACAGAAUGAACUUUGAAGAUAAGGCAAGUAAUUGGGGAAAAAGCUAAAUGAUCAAAACAACAAAAUGCUAAUUAAACAGAAUAGUAUGGUAAGAAGAAGGGGAAAUAGAAAAGAUAGAACCAAGAAAAGGUAUAGCUAUCAUCCUCCAUUUCACAACAUUCAAAGUGAUAUACCAAUAAUGAUGCAUCACUAACUAAACAUAAGGAAAAGCAAACAAGAAAAGUAGAAAGUCAUAAAAUUAACCACAAAACUAACACCUCAUUAUUGAAUCCCUGUGAGCAUUGUGGCUUUAUUGUUACUACUUGCAUUGACAAGAGAAUUUAAAUUUUGAAAGGCAUAUAGAAGAAUAAUUUCCAUCCAUAUGGUAGUCCAAUCCCUAAGCUAUUUAGGGCACUUAGUAUUGUUUAAUGCUAAAAAACAUUCCAUAUGUACCAAAACUUUGACAUAACAUUGGAGAAUUCCAACAGCAAAUCCUUCUACAUGUUAUCAUCAUGACUUGGACCAGGUGGAGAUAUCAUAAACAUAUUUUUUUUAUCAAUAAGUAUAAUAUGUAUAGCAAAGAGGUGCUAAAGAAGCGACUCAAAGAGUUACAGUAUAGAUCAACUAACCCCCUUACAAAAGGACCCAAGACCCUAGGAAAGCACCAAAAACCCUCUCCCUUAACGCAUACACUCAUUCUAUAAAAUCUAUUAAGGUCGAAGGACCAUCUUUUAUCCACAAUUUGGUUUCCGACCAAAGUAAAUACACAAAAAAAAAUUUCAGCUUUUGGAUGGACAGCACACCGUCCUCAAAAGCAAUAGAAUUCCUAGCCUUCCAAAUAACCCAAAACAAACAUAACGGUCCCAUUAGCCAUGCCACCUUCCUCUUCUUGCCCACAAAAGAGCCUCUCCAACCUAUGACAGUUUCCUUAACCGAAAGCAGAAAAAACCCAAGAAACUCCAAAAAAAGAUAGGAGCAACGUCCACACCUCCCUCGUUCAUAAACAUAUAUAUAUAUAUAUAUAUAUAUAUAACAGAAAUACAGGCCACAACUAAACAAAGACAAUACAAGUUUUAGACUAGGCUAUGUAUGAAACCAAAAAAGCAUACCAGGUUAUUUAUACUUCAAUAACAAUAUUAUCACAUUACUAUGCCAUGAAAAAGUACCUUGUUUUGAGUUCUUUAUACAUUAUAAACACCAGAAUGAAAGGAACCAUUUAGUACAAUACCAGCAACCUUAAAAAGAGCAUCAAUCAAAAUCAUAAAAACUUCAAAUUUUAGUUACAUAUAGUGCAAUAAAUGCAUAAUUCAGCUCAAAAUGCCAUUUCCAAAGAAGUGAACCAAUAACAAAUUAUGCUUUAUUAUUCCUUGCAAAUUGAGAGAAUAUUUAAAUUCAACAUUACUGGUUCAAAAAAAUAUAAUGUUUCGAAUGCAAUAUUUGCUUUCAGCAGGAAUUAAUCCAUAGAUAGGAAAAGACAACACUAAACCAAUUCAGGUGCAUAAUAAAUUUAAGCAAAUACAACCACAAACCUUGGCUCUAAGAUGGCCAACAGGACUGCUGAACUCAGGGAAAACAUGUUGCACCAACAUAUGCUCAAGCUCAGACUUGUAGGGUUCUGUCUGUUUCAGCUUAUCACAAAGGGCUCCAAUAGCAAGAAGUGCACCAUCUUUCUGCCGAUAGGCUUUAUAUUCCAGUGAGGCCUCAUCAUACCUGGAUAAAACAAGAACGCAAUAAGACAAGCACCAUUAGAGUUACUUAUGAUUUAUUAGCAAACAACCACAAUUUCUCUAUGUUGACAGAAACAUUGAGAACAUACCUUUUAAAGAUUUCUACGAUAAAUUGAAUAAACUUAUGAAGGUUCUCUUUUGCGCGUUUUCUAACCAACUCACUCACAAAAUCCAUGGCAGCAGUCCUAGGACUAUACAAAUCUUCAAUGAUAUCUGCAGCAAAGUAAAAGAAGGGUAAACCACUUCUUCUAUCCAGACUCCAACAAUGAUAUAACUAGCCUAGGCAUUUAGGCUACAAAACAAGUAUUAUAAAGACUUACCAUAACCCUUCCUUACAUACUCAUGUGGAUCUUCAUCCCAAAGCUUUUGAUCAUUGUCAUUAAAGCACAUAAGGGGAAAAACUAUCUCAAAGAGAAGAACAUCGAGCCGUGGUUGCAGCAACUGAUACAUACUCAUCUUUGAGAUACUACAUACAAAUAAAAGUAGGAGGUGAAAUACAGAAGUUAGUCUUUCGAAUGAGAUUAUAACAUAGCUGACUCAUUUCACAUCCUAUCAUAAGCAGCAUACAAGGCAUUCAAUGAUCUAAAAAUGAAUGUGUUAAAGAGCUCAGACAAACCAUAGAUGACAACUGAAUUAAAUAUCACAUUAUAAGUUACAAAAGGUACAUGACAAUCAAAGCUCUAGACAUAAGAAGAUUAAGCUACUCUGCUGAGGAUAAAAGAAAAUAAAAAAUAAAAAGGAUAGGUUUUGGUCAUUUACUGCAUGAUCUAGCUCUCUAUAAGUAUCAUUUUUACAUGAAAGAAUAAAAGAAUGAAAACUGAACAUAUGCAGCAUCAUCAUAGAAAGUGCCGUGUAAACAUUAUUUGAUGCCCAAAGUCAACUUUAACCUGCUUUGCUGUAGAAAGAAUUCUCUGCUUAAGUCAUAGCCAUUCUCUUAUUCAAUGCUCAAGUUUUUUCAUUAAUGCCAGUGUGAUGACAAAAAGCAAGAGCAAUGUUUCCUCUUGCAUUGUAUAAAAGCUUAUAUUGCUCCUUCCAGAGGGAAAUUUAGAAAUCUAAGCUCAUGAUUUAGUGUUUGCAUUAAGCCGUACUUCCCAUAUUGCCACAAAAAAAAAGCUCUUUUUCUCUACUACGCUGACUACAAUUGCCUUUUUGGUAAAGGCUAGUACAAUUGAACAAGCAACAGAGUUUGAAAUGCACUGAAGAAUAAUGCUCAUUUAUCCUCUGCUUCAGAGUAUAUAGCCCUCCCAAUCCAUUUGUGCUGAAGCCAAACAGAAUGCUAAGGAUUUGCUUCAUCGCAAAUCCCCCACAGAGACAGCAAGAAAGUGGACUGUCCAACAUAUUAACAAACAUUCCAUGUUUAUUUUCCAAAAGUCAAGCAUUCUUUUCCAACUAAAUAAUAGAUAACAAGAGACAGUUGAGGAGCUACUUUUCAACCCAUUACAAUAUCAAUUCAAGUAAAUAACCAUAUCACAUAAGAAACCUUGAAACUGUUCCAGCAAGUUUGAAUAGUUUUUUUGCAAUGAAUAGCACGACAUGGGGUAACAAAGAAAUAAAUGUUCUGCUUUUUUUUGCCUUUUUAUGGGCAAGCAAGAAAUAAAUGUUCUACUAUCUGACCGUUAACAUACUAAUUUUUAAUGAUAGACAAACUGAGGAUAUAUUAAGCGGUAGCUAACAAAAAAGAUGAAACCAUAUCUACACGGGGGGUUUACAAGAGGCACCAAAUUAAGAAGGAAAAAAUAAGUCCUACACAAAAGAAUCAAAAGUAAUAGACAAAAUACCCACAGUUUUGACUGUCUAAAAAAUCCAACAAUAUACAAUUAGCCACUCCCAACAUGAUCUAGACCAGGUAUUUAAUGAGGUUCUCCUCCAACUAUUUAAUAGCUAUUAACUUAAUUGAAGACCCAGCUAUUAAGGCUCUCUCCACAUACACCAAAACAAGCAAAGGAGAGCCAUGCACCAUACCUUCCUCCACCUCUUAUCCAAGCCUCAAUCCUUCCAGCCCAACAGGAGAUCUUCCACUGAAUAUUGCUGGUAGCAUAUUGCACAACUUUCUAGUUUCAUCACAAUCAAUAAAGAUGUGGUUUGCUUAUUUUCACUCACUUUAUAAAGAUUGAAUUUGUUUAUAUAUACACACACACAUAUAUAUAUAUAUAAAGUCCUCAAUGGGUCUCAGUACUCCAGAUUCCUUCUUUUUUUUUUUGGAUCAGAAACAAACAAAUGUGUUAAUGGAUAAUAAAAACAUAAAAAGGAUGAGAGGUCCUCCUCAUGAAGUACAAAUUUGAUCAAAAGUAACUAAGUAAACCUCCACAAAACAAAGCAAGGACAAAAGGCCUAUACAAGUAUAACAACACCAGCCCCUAUAACCCACCCCUAAUGUGAACAAAUCGAGAGCCAACUAAGGUGAAUAACACUCAAAGGGUAGGGUUUAAAAAUGUCAAUACAAUAAGCCCAAAAAGAAACAAAAAAAUGAAGCAAAUCCCACAAUGAAUCCAGCGUCCUCCACAUGUUCUCGAAAAUCUGAGCGUUCCUCUCUCUCCACACAAUCCACAACAAAGAGAGACAUGUUAUCCUCCAAAGAGUUCUACCUCUAAUUGAAGUCCCAAAACACCUUAAGGAGAUCACCAUCAUAUCACAAACACUGCCUAGCGGAACCCACUCCAUCUUAGCCUAUGAAAAAAUCCUAUGCCACAAUCCCAAAGUAAUCAAAUAAUGCAAGAAAAGAUGUUCAAUCGUCUCACCACUCCUAUAUAGGAUGCACCAAUCAGGACCAAGGACUUUGAAAGGUCUUCUCAACUGUAGCAUGUCAUUGGUAUUUACCUUUUUAAGUGUCACUAACCACACAAAGGCUUUGACCUUAGAUGUUGCUCUUGAUUUCCACAAAAAAUUAGUUGGUAGAAGGGGACUGAAUUUGGAGAAAAGGAUAAGGCUGAAAAAAAAACAAUUUUACUGAGAAAACUCCUGAAGAGGACGGUACCCAAGAUCUCGAAUCUAGAAUAGGAGACAAAUGGAAAUUGGACAGUGAUGACAUUAAUCUUUCAUGAUCCUCAAUCUCCAUAUCUAUUAAAUUGUGACGAAAAGUGAGAUCCCAAACAAUGAAGUUUUAUUACCAAGGAUAGCAGAGAUAGGACAAUUUUUAGUAGUGGUGACUUUGAAAAAACUUGGAAAUUGUAAACACAAAGGUUGAUCCCCCCGUCACAAAUCUUUCCAAAAACGAAUUUUGGACCUAUCACCCGCUACAAAACGAGUAUGUAGAAGAAACUUGGAGCGAAUAUGCAAUGGUCUUCCAAAGGCAACGAUGUGACCAUCUGACUUUAUUGUUGGUGUCCCAUCCAUUAGGAUAUGUCCCAUAGAUACUCAAGAUGACCUUAUGUCAAAGGGUAGUACUUUCCUUAGGGUACCUCCAAAGCC
rnacentral:lncRNA from 1 species